rnacentral:lncRNA from 1 species
GAUUGGUGGGUUUACCUGAAGAGUUUAGGGUUUUUGAGAGCUUAGGGUUUACGGAUGUGGAAGCGUUUAGUGAUUUGGAAGCUGCUGCCGCCGUCGCUAUUCUAGAUGCUGAAGAAGCAAAGCCUCUCAUGUCGUGACCAGAACGGAGCUGAGUGCAAGUGAAACAUUGAUUUGGUCUCUAACCUCAAGACGAUGUUUCCUAAACGACGCUGUUUAAUACACCAAUAUCAAUAUGUGUUCGAAUUUAAUAAUUUUUUUUUUAGUUUCAGAAUAAAUUAAGAAAAAGUCAUGACCAAAAAGAUCAUCUCCUUUGAAACAAACAAAAACAAAAGAAUUUUGGUUGAUCCUAAUGACUCUUCCAUUGCCACCAUGAAAAUGAGGGUUUUCAUUAUAGUUUAUCCAUCUCUUGAUUACUAUGAAUUUUAAUUUUCUUGUAAUAAUUAUAUUUCUAAGUGAUAAUUUUCUAAUUUCUAUCUUAAAUUGUAGCAUUGACUAAAUAUUUCCAUCUUCAUCUUCAAAAAUAUAUUAUGAUAAUAUUAAGUUAUUGCUAAUGAGAGAUGUAAUAAAAAGAGUUGUGAUGAAGUCAUUAUUAUGCUAUUUAUGUAUGAUUAAUAAUAUGUUAUAAAAAUUACUAUUGCAAUAUAUAUAGUUUUCUUAUAUCAUUGCAUUUAUUUAUAAGAAUAAGAUACAAAUCAAGUCCAAUAACUUAGAGAAAAUAAAGGCAACGCUAGAAUCAUCAAUUUUGAGAGAAAAUGGAUUUAUAAGUUUGUAUUACUUUUGACAACAACAUUUCACUGGACAUGGAAUACAAGGAGAACCACACUGUCCACCUUUUUGAAAGCCAGCUCUAAGACAGUCCUUAUUACAUUCAUCAUUCCAGUAAUCUUCGGAACACCUAAUAUUGCAGUUGUCAAAAGAGAAGCCUUCGAUCCUUGCAUCUACACAAGUCCACAUAUAUAUCAAACAUCAUCAAUACCAACAUGUGUAAAUUUUAUAUCAUUCCAAUAAAAAAUAGUUAUAUAACAUGUCCAAAUAAAAGUUUUUAACGAAACUUUUGAAUUCAUGUAUAAUAUAUAUAUAAACAAAAACGUGAUCAUAACGAAUUCCAAAUAUUUAGAUAUAUAGCCUUUGAAAUGAUCACUACUAAAUUGCAAAAUAGCUAAACCAAACUUUGAAAAUACCUGAAGCCAAAACGUUGUUGUUAGGCAACGAAACUGCAAGUAUUAUUACAAGGAAACAUGUCACCAAAGUUUUCGUACUACCCAUAAUAAAUUUUUCUAUGAACUCUUUUGAGGUAUUCAAAUGUUUUUAUUGUUUAGGAUCUUAAGGAUUGACUAUUUAUAUAUAACUUUUGGUCUUCAGUUUGUUUUAUUACAAUUAAUUGAUGAUCCAUUUUUGUUUCUCAAAGUUUUUUAUUUUUGGCAAAAAAAAUCAUUUACAUUUAUGAAUAUAUAAUUAUUUACAAUUAAUAAUCCUAAAUGAGAACUUAAAAAUUGAAAAAAGUGUGUGACACUUGUGAAUAUGGUCAAAGGUAAUUUGUUGGAUAUGUUGUCAUUAUGUUCAAUCAAUAUCUCAAGUUAAAUGCGAGAUUUUAAUUUCAUAAUUCAAUAUUGGAAAUUUUUUUUUUAUAAUUAGGUAUAUUAUAAAUUUUAACUGAUUUCAAAAUUGAUAUUGACAAAACAAAUUGAAAGGAAAAUUAAAUAUUAUCUGUAAAGUCAUUAUUGUUUUUGUUAAUAAAUAUUUUUUAGUUUCAUAAUAAAUUAGGAAAAAGUCAUGAUGACCAAAAAGAUCAAUAAGUUGAAAGUUGAUAAAUGUCUUGUUUUUUUUUUAAUCAUCUUCUUUGAAACAAACAACAAUGGCAAAACAAGAUCCCACUAGCAGCAACACGAUGCUACCACUCGUAGGAUCUGAGUUUGUUCGUCCACAGCCGUUAGAUCUAACGAUAACCGGAGAUACAGUGAAGGACGCAACCGGGAACAAAGUGUUCAAAGUCAAAACGCCUCUCUUUGGUCUCCACAACAAAAGAAUCUUGGUUGAUCCUAAUGACUCUCCCAUUGUCACCAUGAAAAUGAAGGUUUUCAUUAUAGUUACUUGUUAUUACCUCUUGAUUUUUGUUUAGUUAAUCGGUCGGAUUUUUCUGAGUUGAAUUUUCUUGGUUUAUGCCUUGGAUUUGAAUGUGUAAAAAAGGUGACAAGUAAGCACGAUCGAUGGCAAGUGUAUAGAGGAAGUGAUUUAGAUGAUAAGAUCUUCACGGUUAAAAGAUCUUCGACUGUUCAAUUGAAGACAAGAGUUGAAGUAUUCUUGAAACAUAACCAGACCAGAGAAUCGUCUUGUGAUUUCACAAUUAAAGGUCGGUUUAUGAAACGUGCAUGUACUAUCUAUGUCGCAGACUCUACCAAAAUCAUCGCUCAGGUAUAAACAAACAAAUAAAUAAGUAAUGCGAUAAAAAUAACUCGAAUAGAUUACUUACACAUAUAUUAUACAGGUAUAUGAAGGACAUGAGAGAUUAGUGGCUACAAUUUAUCCUAAUGUCGACUAUGCUUUUAUUGUUACACUUAUCUUUAUAUUUGACCUCAUUAAUAUGGGGACUGGGAUCUGAUAAUAGUUUGAGCCUUGAAGGCAAGUGUUGACUUUUUAUACCUUGUUUAUUGUAUGUGUAUGACUCAUGUGUGUUUUGCCAAUGUUUGUUACGUGAAAGCACCAUUGUUUUGAGUUGCUUAAUGUGAGAAAAGCUGUUGCAAGAGUGUGUAAAUCUUUCUGUGGACUUAAUUAAGUAUGGUUGUUUAUACCAUUGCUAUUAGUAUGUCAAUCUUUAUCGCUGUUAUUAAUCAAGAGUAAACGAUUUAUAAACACAAUGAAAGCGUUGAAAAUAAAGAGAAUAUUUUCUGUUAUCAUUUGAAAGUUUACACACAAGGCAAAGUUCCGCAAAAACAUACAACACAUUAUUUUCAAAAUGUUGUUCUUAAAGCUUUAUCACUUCCUAUAACCUGCUUCUUGGUACUGGUCCCAUCUCUUUGGCCUUGGUCCUCAGAAUAUGCUUCUGAAUUUUUCCAGUUGCUGUCUUUGGUAACGGCCCAAACACCACUGACUUUGGGACCCAAUAUGCCGGAAGCUUCUCCCGGCAGAAUUUCAUUAUAUCCUGAGCCAACUUAUUCUGGUCAUGCUUCUCGUAAUCGCUCUUAAGUGUCACAAACGCACACGGAGAUUCUUGCCACCGCUCGUCUGGCCUGGCCACAACAGAGGCUUCAAGAACCGCGGGGUGAUGGUACACUACGUUUUCGACUUCGACACUGCUGAUAUUCUCGCCCCCAGAGAUUAUAACGUCCUUUGACCUGUCCUUGAUCUCGAUAUAGUUGUCUGGGUGUUUCACUGCAAUAUCCCCCGAGUGGAACCACCCACCAGCAAAUGUCUCUUUGUUCGCUUCCGGAUUCUUUAGAUAGCCUUUCAUCACCAUAUUCCCUCGGAAAACAAUUUCUCCUGCGGUUUUUCCAUCUGCAGGAACAGGUUUUCCGGUCUGAGUGUCAAUGACAUCAAGCUGCUCCAUGCCAGUAUAGCGGACACCUUGGCGAGCAUUGAGCUUGGCCUGCGUCUCAGGAGGGAGGGAAUCCCACUCGGGUUUCCAAGCGCAUACGGUGGAAGGACCAUAAGUCUCGGAAAGCCCAUAGGUGUGAGCGACUCGGAAGCCCUUCUGGUUCAUGGAGAAGAGAACAGAAGGUGGAGGAGCAGCUCCUGCUGUCAUGACAUGGACUGUAUGGGGAAGAGGAAGGAUAGUGUCUUCUUUAGGAGCAUUGACAAUAGCGUUGAGGACCACAGGAGCUGCACAGAAAUGAGUUACCUUGUAUUUGGCUAUCAUUGAAUACACUUCCUUCGCCGUAACCUGAAACCAAAAUUUAAUCAGCUCUUCUUCUGAUUUAUGUGAACUUCUUUUCUUAAGUGAAAAGUAACUCUCUCAAGUACUACCUGACGGAGACAGAUGCUUGUACCAGAGAGCACAGCAAGGGACCAAGGGAAACACCAACCGUUGCAAUGAAACAUAGGGAGAGUCCACAAGUAAACAGCACCAUCUUGCAUCCCCCAAAUGAGAGGAUUGCUCAAAGCCAUUAUAUACGCACCUCGAUGAUGAAGCACCACUCCUUUCGGACUAGCAGUUGUUCCCGAGGUAUAACCAAGAGCGAUGCUCUGCCACUCAUCAGCUGGUGGCUGCCACGGAUAAUUUGGAUCUCCGGUUGCAAGAAAAUCCUCAUAUUCUAUAGCUCCCUUCGACAAAGCCCGGUUAAGUGACUCAGGAGCACAGGUGUGAUCACCAAUGACGAUUAAAAGCGGGCGUUUGAAGCUACUUCCAGCUUUCUCCUCCAUAAGUCUCAAAGAAUCCUCAGCCAGAGUAAAGAACUCCUGAUCCACCAUUAUAACAGAGCUCUGCGAGUGACUAAGAAGAAAAGCGACUGUUGGGGCAUUGAGACGGAUGUUGACACAAUUCAGAACAGCUCCACACAUUGGUACUCCGAAAUGAGCUUCGUACAUUGCUGGGAUGUUAGGUGCAAUAAUAGCCACCUGAAACAAUAAUAACAUUUCUGGUCUAGUGAAAUUACUCAGAUUGCAAGAAGACCAAACAACCAAACCAAAACAUUGUUAAUUAAAAAAAGUCAACAAACAUCAACAUCACCAGUGCAUCGAUCAACAAGAAUCAUGCGAGAGCAAUUAGUUUCAGAAACAUUAUGGUUAAUAUGUGAUUAAUACAUAAUCAUGAUGAUUCCCUAAAACAGAUUCUUUAUGAAAUCGAUUAUAAUCUCUGGUAAGUGGUUGAUUACGAAAAAUCUAUAAGCAAUUCCAAAAUCUCUGGUAAGUGAUUGUUCAAAAUUUUGGAAAUGAACAUUUUAGCUAGAGUCGAAAUGAUAAUUUGGAAGAUAAAUGAAAGAUUAGGAAGAGAAAAAGCGAAUACCGUUGAACCGGGACCGAUUGAUCGAUCGGCGAGAGCGGAGGCGAGUCGGCGACACCGGUCAUAAGUCUGGCGCCACGUGUACUCUCGCGAUCCGUGAAUCACAGAUUUUCUGGUCGGAUGAACCACGGCAGCCCUAUCAAGGAACCAAAGCGGAGUCAACGCCGUGUAGUUGGCCGGAAUCUUGGGAAGAUCAUCGAUGUCACGCCACUUCGUUGCCGCCAUAUCUGACUCUCUCGAUUUGUUUAGGUUGUGUUUAUUCAAAUCUGGAGCAGUGAGUGGAGAAUCCAAUCACAAAGUCACAAACACGUUGUUGAAGUCGUAAAGGUUGGAGGAAAGCUUAUAUGGAGUGUGUGUGUAUCGCCGUUUUGGGUGAGGUGUAAUCGACACGUGGCGUCUUCUGGUUUUUCCGGUUAGCGGACCGGAAAUUAUCUCAAAUUAAUUUGAACCGAACAUUUUUGUGAGGUCGUCGAUGCAAUUUGAGGAUCAUGCUCUGACUGUUACUACAAAUCUACAAUAUUGUUCGACUAAAUGGGAAAGAUUACAUUUUGUCAUUUUCUAUUCGAUUAUUUCAACAUACCCAAAGAAGAAUAAAGAGUAGUUCAUUUUGUUUUGAAAUAAAUUUUGUUGGCCAUUAUAGGAAAACAAUGGCAACAGAAUCACGUUAUUCUUGAUAAUAUUGUUAGCCAUUGAAGAAUAACAAUGGCAACAGUAUCAUGUUUUACACGUCAUUGAUAAUUAAAGAAUUUCUUGCCAAUUUUGGCACUACACACCAAGAAAACAUUUUUUCUAUAACCUUAUCCCAAUCACAUUAUUAAAAUCACUUAAGAUCUCUACUAGAUUUGACCUGACUAGAUCUGACCGUUCGUGAGAAAGCUACUUAAAAUAAAAUAAAGAAAGAAUGACGUACGUAGACCAAACUACUGUUAUUUCUUGAAUCCAUUUACAUGGCGUUUCUAUACUUCUAUCUUAUCGACCUAACUUAAUUGCUUCGAAUGGUAGUCACAUUCCUUUGGCCGGCCAGUUGCUGGAGCCUGGAAGUAGCUAUUCACAGUAUUAGCUUGUUUGUGUUUUUUUUUUAUCAAACCGAUAAUCUCAUUAACUCAAAUUCUAUCAAAAGAGGAAGGAUUACAUCCAAACUAGAAGAAAUUACAACCAACAUAAAAACAAUUAUACGAAGUAAUUAAGACAACCAAACGAUGACUAAACUAGAGAUAAAUAGACGAUAACAAUCAUAAACAUAGACCAUAAAAAAUUGCAAGACAACAAUCUCAAAAUCUUUUAGAUCUUUGUCUUCUUGGUGUGCAUGCAAUAUAUAUUUAUAUUUUUUGAAAAGAAAAUGGUGUGGAAAAUAUUGCAAUCGUUCGUACGUAUAUUUUUACAAAAUAUUAAAACCAAGCCCAUGCAAAACACAUAUACACCAAAGUCAACUUUCUUUUUCAAAAGUCACCGAACCAGAGGUUAUAAAACUUUCACUCAAGAAGAGGAACCAGAACUCGGAGGAGCAGAGGAGGAAGAAGAAAAAGGUUCUUGAUCUGCGCAUGACAGCUUCUCGUGAGGACCAGCUUCUUCUCGUCCAACACCUAUCAGAUCAAGAUAAUACAAAUAAUGAGAAACAAUGUUGUUCAUCUCAUCGUUAUCGAAUCCGCUGUUGCAGAUUUGAUCGCCGUAAAGAACGUUUAUGGUGGCUCCAAACCCCGGAGUUCGUUUUGCAGCAGUGUCAUUCUUUGUUGGCUUCCAUUUUCCGACGAAAACAUCGUGCGCCGACGGUAAAUGCUUCUUCGGUGGCGUCAUCCACCGCCAAAUCGCCGCUUGAAACGCUAACGUAGCAUUGUUCUCGAGAUACUCUGGAUGACUCAGUAGAUCCACUUUCAAAGCCUCCCCGGUUUGACCAUAAUUGUAAUUCCUAAACCAGACCAAUGAUAAUGAAAUUUAAACCGAGAAACUUUAAAUUAGAAUUAACCGGAACUGUUUAAUCUAAACAACGUACCAGUAAACCGGUAAAGCUCCUCGACCGUGGUACGAGACACCAGGAGUACAAGGAUAUGUCAAUUUGUAGUAAUCAUCGCAAUAAAGCUGAUCAGGACUCAUCUCCUUGUUGUAACACAAUCCCCAAGCUAAUGGUCCGCCUGUUGCAACCCCGUACCCGCCUUUAAACCGAAUAAUCGUAACGGUUAUUAGUGAUUUCAAUUCCCGGUUAAUAAUAAAUAAACCGGUUUGGAUCGCUCUAAAAUUAAACUUACAUGAGGUUUUGCUCCCAACGUGGCCAAGAAACGCAGCGACUUCCUUCAUCCCUUGAAGUUUCUCACCAGCAGUACCGAAACCAAGAGGCUGGUACUCGGCAGCCGCAGUAAUGAAUGAUCGGUAAUCCCAAAAGCCGACGGCGUGAGCCACUGGACUGUUACGCUUAGAGAAUAGAUUCUCGAAUUGAUAUGUCUCAAAAAAAUCGGAGAUUGUAUGGUUGCAACAAUACUCGGACCAUCCUUUGCAUUCCCAUCCUUUGUCGCAUAAUUUUUUACCUUUCACAAUCUUCACCAGAGGCUUUCUCGUUGAACUCGAAGGCUCGGAAUCUUCAGCGUUGACAAGGGUUCCGGUUUGAAACACAACCAAUGCAACCGUGAGAAGCAAUAGGGAGAAUAGCGGUUUCGAAACCAUGGUUGAUUUUUUUUUGUCUUUUUCUUCGUCUAUCAAUGUGACCAUUGUAUGUAUAACUUUAUAUACAAACAUAUAUGUAUAGAGUAGUGUCGUGUUCGUUUUAGGAGGAAUUAAGUUUUCGGAAUUUGGUGGUAGGAGAAGAGUUGCUUUUCGUGAGUUUUUUUUUGCUUGGUUUUGAAGUUUCUUAGAGUGGAAGUUACAUGUUAAGAAAAUUGGUCGAAGCAUGUACACGUAGAACUGUAAAUGUUUUAAACUUCAUUUUUCUAACAAAAUGGUUAAUCUAUUUUACCAAAAUAAAAUAAAAAUGGUUAAUCUAUUGCAACACCUUUACAAUUAGAUUUUUUUUUGGUUUAGGGGACGGAUUAUAACUAAUGAUUGGGAAACAAGUUUGAGAUAGAAAUUGGAAAUCGUUUAUUGGAGCGGUUUUGUUGCUGCUAGAAUACUUUGGAACUAAUUUAACCAUAUAUUUUUUCUUUUCCAGGCUAUGAAUGUCAAUAUAUUUAGAUAUUGAAAAUGUUUGGCCAAUCUUGACCUUGACAAAAAGGAAUAAAAACAAAGAAUCAAAUAUUUGGGACGUCACUUCGAAUGAGUUCAUGUUAUCCGCAGUUGCAUCAGAUUGCUCAAGUCAUUUCAAUAACUUAACCAUUAUUUUUAUAUUUUUUGUCAACCAAUAAUUUAAACAUUAAUUAACCCAAAAAAUAAAUACUUGGAACUAAUAAGUGGUAAGUAAAUGGCUCAUAUACCAGUUUGUUUAGACCCUCAUAGCAAAAUAUAUAUUGGGGUUAAUUUGCUAAAUAAAAUCUUUAGAAACGUGGUAGCGAGUCGCACCGAGCCUUUUCUAGUCUUAUGCUUUAACGGAACCGAUAGUUUACCAAUGGUUCAGUUAUGAUAAGGAAACACCUACGGACAUACCAAUUAUGAUGCAUGUGUUAUAUAUAUAUAUAUAUAUAUAUUUUUUUUUUACGGGGGGAACUUAAUAAAUGUUUAAUUUAUUUUUCUUUUGUAAAUAAAUGAUACAGGAAAGACCAACGGACAUGCCAUCUGCGGGAAAAAAAGAAGAAGAUGCAUUAUAUGGAUGGCAAGUCUGGCACACGAACGGCACAAAAUGUCCGGAGGGAUCAAUUCCAAUUCGAAGGCUGAUUUCCCUUGGGAACGAGACUAUCAUCACUUCUAACGCCGGGGAUAGAGUCACCGGUGGACACGAGGUACGUAUUUGUUUGUGUUUUAACUAAAUAUUUGCCAUUAAGGCAGUUUAACAAUAAAUCUAUUCAUCUAAUGUGAACCAAACAUAAAUCUGACCAUGAAUGUCGAUGCAUAUGGAAAUAUAGGUUUAAGAAUGAUUUUUGAACACGCCCAAAUAUUUUCCCAUAGGAUUAUUUGUUCCAUCUUUGGUUGGACUUCUCAUUUUGUUGGGCUUAAGCAACAAAUCAUUCGAUUGUUUUUGGAUAUCAUGCGACAAUGAAUGUGUGGCAGCCAAAUGUAGAAGUAUUUAACGAGUUCAGCUUGGGUCAACUCUGGCUAGUCUCAGGUUCAUACAACGACAGUAAUAUCAAUAGCAUCGAGGCGGGCUUUAGUAGUUCGAUCUCUCCAUCUUCAUCUUCAUCUUCGUAUUCAAAAUAUCUCAUAAUAAUAAUAAUGAAUUUUGGCUAGUAAGGUUAUAAACAUAGGAGGAAGUCCAUCAUUAUUAUGCUAUUUAUGUUUGAUUAAGAAUUUAAGAAUAUGUUUUAUAAUAUACUCGAUUUCAAGGAGAAAACCACUUAUGAUAAUAAAUAGUUUUUUUUUUUUUUUUUUUUUUUUUUUUUUUUAUUUUAUUUUUAUAAACAUAAGAGACAAAUCAAGUCCACGAGCUUAGAGAAAAUAAAUGCAUGAGUCUAUAUUACUUUUGGCAACAACAUUUGAGAGUGUCUUUACGAGAACGAGAAGCACACUGUCCACAGUCAUUCAUACAUUCUUUCCCUUUUUGUUUGUAUUUGCAAAUUUAUAAAUACAGUUUAAGUAUGUUGACCUAUUGUUUUCUCUAAAAUUUAUUAGAGCCCGGAUAGAGAUAUGAUCGACCACAUCAAGAAAUAAGAUCAAGUAGAUUUUUUGCGUAUAUUUGGCUUAUGUUUUGCUUAUGUUUUGCUUAGUAUUUAUUUUUGGUCAAUUGUUUUUAAAAAACUGUUAUUAUCUUUUAAUGUCAUAUAUUUAUCUUUUGCAACUACAUAUAGAACAUCAUAUUACCAUAUCUCACUAAUCAAAUACAUCUACUUCCGGAGGCACCCAAGUCGAUCUCACCAUUAAGAUGUAGAAGGUUAGAUUAUUUGUAUUAUUUUUGUUUUAUUGUAUAAAUGUUUCCUAAUAAAUAAAUAUACAGAAAUGAAGGAUCAAAAGCUCGAGAGUUGGUGGAUGGGUAUCGUAUUGUCGUCCUUGAACAUUGCGUCCUCUAGCAGACCAUAUAUUAUCCAACCGUUUUUUUCACUAUUCAAACUGAUUAUGCAAUGAAAGUGGAGUGGGACGGCGAGAUCAUGAGCAUGAAUACUUUUGGCCUGCACACGAAAAUGCAAAUAGGAUCCGACUAUUUUCAUGACAGUGUUUUGGAAAUCCGCUUACAUGUGUAACAUAGAAAUUUCACUGUCCAAAAAUGAUUUCCAACCACUUACGAAAUAGUAGUAAGAGGAAGUCACCCCGAUUAUUACAGCCCCAAGAAGUCGAACAAUAUUCCUGAACUUGGGACACAUUUUUAUUGGGGAUUCUUUUUUUUUUAUCGGAAGCAUGAGCUAGCAGCUUAACCCGCGACAUGUGACCGUUGCUCAUCUUACAUGGGACUCGACUCUCCUAUAUCUAAGUUUCGGCUUGGUGUUCUUACUUGUUUAUUUUUUUAAAAAAGAAGAGGAAGUUCUUCACUAUUAUAUUAAUGUCAUUAUGAUCAAUCUAUAUCUUACGUUACAUGCAAAAUUUUCUUACAUAUUUGAAUGUUGGAAAUAUUUAUUUAGAGUUAGGUGUAUGGUAGAAGUUUUAUUUGAUUUCAAAACUGAAAUAAAAACUACAUUUAAAAUAUGUAAAAUUAUUAACUCUUUGUGCUAGUGGUUGUCUAACCUAAUUAGAUUGGUUGGUGCAUUGUCUAUUUGGUCCGACCGAUAUAGGAGACCGGUCUUUUCAUUUCAUUAGUUUCCUCCUGAGUCCUGAGAGAUAUCACAUACUAAUUGUCAAAUUUAAUAAAGUAGUGAGACUGUUUUUUUUUCUCCCAUAAAGAAAAGAAGAAGAUAGUACUAAUAAGUAAUAACUAAUAAAUAGAGGUGAGACGAAAAAAGAGAAUAGGACCCCAGAAUAAAUGAUGAACCAUAAUUAUGAAGCCACGUAUGUAACAGUCCACGUCUGUUCGUACACCCGCCGCGGAUAAUGAAUGAUCGCUUAAAAGCUCUGGUCUGGACGCUCUUUACUUUCCCCCUUUAUCAACCACUUUUCUGGUAACAUGUUUACAUUUUGGAGUUGCUUACUUUGCCACUCGUUUUUCUUUUUUUUUGGUCACAACUUUGCCACUCGCUUCUUUAUGUUUCUUAAAAUGUUUUUUUCUUAAGUACCAAUUGUUAUUAUACCUAUAUUUAGGCAUGCCAUAGUCAAAGAUAUAGUUAAUUCAUGAUAUUAAAUAAGGUUUAUUAGUGGUUUAGGUUUAACGCUUAGUUCGAUUAUUGAUUUAGAUCUUUUGUUACUAGAACACUAAUCUUAAACAAUCAAUUAAAACACACAAACCAGAAAGCCUUAUGAAUGAAGAUUCAUGAAUGGUACAUGUUAUUCAUAGGUCCAAUUUGAUAAAUUAGAAAGAUUAAGGUAGUUUUGGAGAAUAAAAGUAGGUAGGGGAGCAAAACUGCAAAUUCAUAAAAGUAUAUCAUCGUUGAAAAUUCAACUUUUCCAAAAGAAACUCUCAAUAAAUCCUCUAAAAAAAAUUAACGGAACAUUCCGUUUCUUUUUAAUCACUCUCAUCGUUUCAGAGACCAUCGAAGCUCGAUUUCAUUGUUUCUCUCAGAACGAUAUCUAUUUGAGCAGAUAAAAAUCAUAACUUUUGACUUUGUUAUUCAGUUUCUUAGUGUUCUUCGUCUGCUUUUUGGUCAAAGCUUGGAAAAACGAGUGUGAAAUCACGAUGGACGGCGACGGUUUAGGCAGACUAAUCGGCUCGGAGAUUCAUGGAUUCCAUACCUUACAAGGUAAGACCUAGCUCUAGAUUUCUGGAUUUAUUUUUUUUUUUUUAAUUAUUAUUAUUGUUUUUGAUUCGCUGGUUCGUUUGUUUCUUUCAGUGUCUUGUUUGUUGUUUGCUGAAGCUGUAGUAGUUGAGCGUUUUUUUAAAUAUAUAAAAACUCGGGUUUGGAGUUUAUUACACUUUGUAUUGUGACGUGGCCGUUUUUGUUCCUUUGCUGUGCCAUUGAAGCUGAAUUUGCAGUUACUGUGAAAUUGAGGUUUAUAUGUGGAUUUAGUAUAUGAUUCAGAAGGUUUAGUGUGGGAAGCUAACGACUUUUGGUAUCUGUCGAGUUUGAAUUUGGUAAAAUUCGAGGUUUUUUUUGAAGCAAGUGUGAAAUUAUGUGUUACGUCUGAAUAAGUUUACUGAUGUUGUAAUUUUUAAGAACAAAGCUAGAAACAUAUUUGUAUAUGAUGAUUGAUGGAUAUAUUAAAUUUGUACUAAACUCUGCUUUGAGUGUGUAUAUGUUCAUCUUUGUCUGAUGUUUCUUGAUAUAUUUUCUGGUUGUGUGUUUUGCAGAUCUUGAUGUACAGACAAUGUUGGAGGAAGCAAAAAGCAGGUGGCUACGGCCAAACGAGAUCCAUGCAAUCCUCUAUAACCCGAAAUACUUCACUAUCAAUGUCAAGCCAGUGAACUUACCCAAUAGUAAUCAUUAUGUUCUACACCUAACAAUAGCCACUCGGUGUUUUAUGAUGUUUCUUCAAGUUUCCAUGUAAUCUUAUGUUUCCGUUAUUUUGAAGGUGGCAGAAUUAUAUUAUUCGACCGUAAGAUGUUGAGGAACUUCAGAAAGGAUGGUCAUAACUGGAAAAAGAAAAAGGAUGGAAGGACAGUCAAAGAGGCUCAUGAACACCUGAAAGUGAGUUCUUUUUGUAGGUUUUAUCUUUAAAGGUUACAUCAUGAGUUUUGUUUUUUUUGGUCAGCUAAUUUAUGUCCUCUGAAUGAUGUAAGGUUGGUAACGAGGAAAGGAUUCAUGUAUACUAUGCGCAUGGUGAAGAUAACACUACCUUUGUUCGAAGAUGUUAUUGGUUACUGGAUAAGUAUGUAGUAAGCAAAGAUCACUGACUUGUCUACUUUAUGUUCUUUGAAAACUUGACUAGAGGCCUCUUUCUUCUAUGUUUCUUCUGAGGGUUAUGUAAGUAAACCAUCUCUUCUUUUAUGUCAGGGCUCGAGAGAACAUCGUCCUUGUACAUUACCGUGAUACACAGGAGGUUUGUUUUCCUUUCUACAUGUUCUCAAUUCUUACUUGUGUUUCUGAUGUUAGAAAGUUAUGAAUGGAUCAGGGUGAUUGAUUUCUUUGCUUUCCAUGUUUGGAUGCUCUCUUUCUCUAUAGAGUAGUAAUGGUCUCCGAUUGAUAGGCUUUAUGGUGGGUUAAACUGAUAUUUUCAGGCAGCUACAACAUCGGGGGACUCAAUCUCUAGUCCAAUCUCCGUCUCGGAACAAACAUUCCCUAAUCGCGUGGCAGCUGAAGAUAUUGAUACAGUUGUUAGAAAUCAUGAUAUUAGCCUUCAUGAUAUCAAUACGCUUGAUUGGGAUGAGCUGCUAGUACCAACCGAUCUUAAUAACCAAUCUGCACCAACCGUAGGUUAGGAAUUGACAAUAUCAGUUGGUGUAGUUAAAGAAACUAUGGGAUGAUGUUGAAAAUAAAUCUUUCUUUUUAUCUGUGAUCAGAUAAUCUUUCAUAUUUCACAGAACCGCUCCAAAAUGCUGCAAAUGGCACUGCAGAGCAUGGGAAUGCGACAGUGGCUGAUGGAUCUCUUGAUGCUUUGCUUAACGAUGGUCCACAAAGUCGAGAGAGUUUUGGAAGGUGGAUGAAUUCAUUUAUCAGCGAAUCUAAUGGCUCACUGGAGGAUCCUUCCUUUGAACCCAUGGUUAUGCCUAGGCAGGAUCCAUUAGCUCCUCAAGCUGUAUUUCAUUCUCACUCUAACAUACCUGAGCAAGUGUUUAACAUAACCGAUGUUUCACCUGCUUGGGCCUAUUCUUCCGAGAAAACUAAGGUAUGUGCUAUCAUAUGAAUAAAAUAAUUGGUUUGGAUUACAAAAUGGAAAAGCAUAACUUUCUCAUAUACUGAUUUUGCAGAUUCUGGUAACUGGGUUCUUGCAUGACAGUUAUCAACAUCUCGAAAGAUCAAACCUUUAUUGCGUUUGCGGUGACUUUUGUGUCCCUGCGGAAUAUCUCCAGGCUGGAGUCUACCGUUGCAUCAUACCUCCACACUCGCCUGGUAUGGUAAACCUCUAUCUUAGUGCAGAUGGACACAAACCAAUCAGCCAAUGUUUCAGAUUCGAACACCGUGCAGUCCCAGUUCUUGAUAAGACCGUCCCUGAAGACAAUCAAGAUUCCAAAUGGGAAGAGUUUGAGUUCCAAGUUCGACUUUCUCAUCUUCUGUUUACGUCUUCCAACAAACUCAACGUUCUCUCCAGCAAAAUCUCACCUCAUAACCUGCGAGAUGCUAAAAAACUCGCUAGCAAAACAAAUCAUCUCUUAAACAGUUGGGCUUAUCUAGUCAAGUCCAUCCAGGGGAAUAAGGUAUCGUUUGAUCAAGCGAAAGAUCAUCUCUUCGAGCUUUCUCUGAAGAACAGGCUUAAGGAAUGGCUUAUGGAGAAAGUGCUUGAAGGUCGCAACACAUUGGAUUAUGAUUCUAAAGGCCUCGGCGUGAUCCACCUCUGUGCCAGUCUUGGAUACACUUGGUCAGUCCAGCUGUUCUCAUUGUCAGGCUUAUCGUUGAAUUUCCGUGAUAAACAAGGGUGGACUGCUCUUCAUUGGGCAGCAUACUACGGAAGGGAGAAAAUGGUGGCUGCUCUUCUCUCUGCUGGGGCAAGACCGAACCUGGUGACAGACUCGACGAAGGAUAAUCUUGGUGGAUGCAUGGCAGCUGAUUUGGCACAGCAAAACGGAUAUGACGGUUUAGCUGCUUAUCUUGCUGAGAAAUGUUUGGUUGCUCAGUUUAGAGACAUGAAAAUUGCUGGAAACAUCACUGGCGAUCUGGAGGCUUGCAAGGCAGAGAUGUUGAACCAAGGCACUCUACCGGAAGAUGAGCAGAGUCUCAAGGAUGCUCUUGCAGCAUACAGAACAGCUGCAGAAGCAGCGGCUCGGAUUCAAGGUGCGUUUAGGGAAAAAGCGCUAAAGGCAGCACGGUCAAGCGUGAUUCAGUUUGCUAACAAAGAAGAAGAGGCCAAGAGCAUAAUCGCGGCGAUGAAGAUUCAGAAUGCGUUCCGGAAAUAUGAUACACGUAGGAAGAUAGAAGCCGCUUACCGGAUUCAAUGCAGGUUCCAAACUUGGAAAAUACGAAGAGAGUAUCUGAACAUGCGGCGCCAAGCAAUUAGGAUCCAGGUAUGAAGUGAACCACACAAGAUUCAGCAGCCAAGAUUAUAAGUUUGCUCUGAACUUGGCUAUUCAUAAUCAUCACUUUUGUCUAAAUUCCACAAACUAUAGGAGACUGAAAGUUCACACCUUUAUCAUAUCGUCUGUCUGAAUUUUGCAACACAUGAGUGUAUUUCCUCCUAUUUUGCAGGCUGCUUUCAGGGGAUUACAAGCAAGGAGGCAGUACAAGAAGAUAUUGUGGUCGGUAGGAGUAUUGGAGAAGGCAGUUUUGAGGUGGAGACAAAAGAGAAAAGGGUUUAGAGGACUCCAGGUUGCAGCAGAGGAGGAUUCUCCUGGUGAGGCACAGGAAGAUUUCUACAAGACAAGCCAGAGACAAGCAGAGGAGAGGCUCGAGAGAUCUGUAGUGCGAGUACAAGCCAUGUUCAGGUCUAAGAAGGCUCAACAGGAUUACAGAAGGAUGAAACUCACUCAUGAAGAAGCUCAGGUGAAUCAUCUGACAUUUUUGAAUCUCAGUUUUGGAAAAAAAAACUCUAACCGGAGAUAAGUUCAUACUUGAAUUAACGAGUCUUGUUAUGGUGUGACACAGUUGGAGUACGGUUGCCUGGAAGAUAUUUGAUACAUCAAAAUGGCUAUGGAGAGGUGAGUCAAAGAGAGUUUGGUGUUGAUUGUUAAACAUGGAUGGUAAUUGAUCUGUAAAUUAUGUGAAUGGGAAAGGCUACUCUCGAUCUUUCUGCAACUGGUUUAGAAUAAAGUAUACAUAACGAGACCUAAUCUCUGUUGUAUGAAAAAGAGAGACAGAAUUAACAAAUAGGUAUUGUAGUUAUUUGUCUAUUUCUGUAACUGGGUUCCUAUGUGACUUUGGUGUAAUCUAGACUUGUAUAUUUGUAGAAUAAAAUUGCAAGUAACCAGAGAAAUAUCUUAUGAACAUUUGUACAUUAAACUAGGUUCAUCUUGUUUGUUUGUUUGACAAAAAAAAAAACUAGGUUCAUCUGUCACUUCACGUCUGAAUCUGAUUGAUAAUAAUGGACAGACAAGUGAUUUUACUAGUAAAAAGAGAAGAAUCAUCCAAAAUCGUUCACAUCAAACAAACAUACAAUAACCAAAACCACAAUCUCCACUAAUUGAAACCAUGGAACAAUUAAACAAAUAUAAGUGAAAGCAGAGACAAGACUCCAACAGAAAUAUUCUCAAAGAAAGAAGAAGGCCUUGUAGAUAUAUCUUUCAAGUCUUUACUUACGGAAGGUUGUUUCUCAUCAUCUCCUCCUCUUCUUCUUCCUUUUCGAUCUUCCUGGUUCGUGUUUAGCUUUAUCUUUGCAUCUCCCUAAAGUACAAUCACAAAUUUUCUUUCUUCAAGAUGUUUCUCCCCACCCCAAUAAGUUUUUGGUUUCUUAUUAUACAACCACUUUUUCACUUACUGUCCUUGUCGUAGCAUGACUUUCAACCUGAAAAAUUGAACUUAUAGUGUAAGAUUCUUUUGCUUUUUAGUAGAGGACUUAAAUCUAUUGAUUGCAGUUAAGAAUAAAGGGGCUCUCUGAUCAAUGGCAUGAGGAGACUGUUUUGCUUUACCUUGGCUGCUUUGAACAGUUCGUCGAGGACCUCAGAGAGUGUUGGAUGUGCAUGAACUGCCAAUUUUAUGUCCUGCAGAGAUACCAUUAAAACAUGCAGGGGAUCAAGAAACAGAUACAAAUAAUGCGUUUAGUAGUUUCAGCAGGAACUAUGUAUAUGACUUGAUUUCGCUGUAGGAUAUUAUCAAUAUCAAAGGCUACGAGCUAGAUUCAAUAGUAAUCACUAAUCAAUGAAAUCCUACCUGAAUACGCGUUCCUAGAGCAAUCGCAUUAGAAGCUUCAUGGAUAAGGUCAGCUGCAUGCAGUCCAAAUAUAUGAACUCCUAAGAUUUCACCAUUGUCAGGUCGGUAUAUCAUCUGCAUAAUGAAAAGCAAUGAGAUCUCUAUGUUCUUUCAUGAGACAUAAAUAAAUCAACAACUUUUGCUUCUCCCACCUUAGCUAUUCCUUCUCCUUCAUUUUCAGCUAGGGCCUUUGUGUUAGCCUUGAAACUUGUCUUGACAACACUAACUUUAAAUCCUUCCUUCUCGCCUUUUUCUUUUGCUUGAGGCUAGCAAUAAUGUCAAAACAUAAGGAGUUACAGUAAGCAUAUUUUGCUCAUAGCAUUCUUCUUUUUGACCCUCUUCUGUACACAAGUACUAGGAUAUAAAACUACCUCUGUUAAUCCCACCAUGCUGAUUUCAGGAUGAGUAAAGCAAGCAGCUGGGAUGCUAAGAUGAUUAAGCACAUGAUCUCUGCCGCUGACUUGCUCGACCACUAGCCACAGAGUAAGAGCUCAGAGUUUAAUACAAGGCUCAAGAAGAAAAAAGGGAAAAUAUUAUUGCAUUGUUAGUAGCCUCCUACUGAUAAGCCAUUUACCAGAAAUUCCUUGGGCACUGGCUGCAUGUGCAAGCAUCAAUUUACCAUUGGCAUCACCAAUGCAGUACAAGUUCGGAACCUAUCACAAGUAGAAAUGAAUUUAGCAUAUAGAAAGAAUUGCUGACAAGGAAAAGGUAUGUAUAUGCAAAUAAAACCGACCAGAGUCCCCUUUCCAUCGAUCACACGCAUUCGCUCAUCAACUGGUAUGAAACCUCUCUGCGUCACAACAUUGACCUGCAUUGAGAUGACAGCUUCAAGGUUAAUUUUCUGACAACUAAACAUUCUCUGGUAACCAAAAUGACAAUACUAAAAGGUGGGAUUUAGUGUCAUUUCAUACAUUUUCCAAGCCAAGUCCAUUGGUGAAUGGAGCUCUCCCAGUAGCAAUAAGAGCAGCAUCUACCUGGAGAAGGAAAACAAAAUUACACUUUCAGCGCAGAAAAUCACAUGGUACAAUGAAAAGAAACCAAAAGACAUGACUAUUUAUAUUCUAUCUUGAGACGAAAGGCCACAAUAAAUUCAGAAAAUGAGAAGCUUUACUAAUCCACCUAUGCAUAAUGUGUAUACUUACAUUUCUGUGGGAAGAGUAACAAUGUGGUUAAUACUGCAGCGAAAAGCAAAAAAGUGAAAAACAAGACUUCUAAGGACCCACUACCAACGGCACAAAUCUUCCCAAUUCAGGCAUGAGACAUCAGAUCAUGUUAAGGACCCAGUAACUGUUAAAUAUUCUCUUUGUGAGACAUCAGAUCAUGUUAUCUUUUAAAUUCCAUUUGGUUACCUCCAAAGUAUCCUUAGGUUCCUUGGUUUUGGCAUCAAUAAGCUCAAUCAGAACUGGUUUCCCAUCCCUUGCCGGAGUAAUCUGAAUAAGAAUAGAUUUAAGUUUAACAGAUGAAUACAUGGACACACUGUAUAGAGAAAGAGAAGCAGUAUUUGCAAUGCAUGAUAUAACAGGCUCACUUUGCUUGCAAAGACUCCAGUAUGAUAGUCAAUCUUUCUUGGAUUUAUCAAAACCCUCUGAGCUAGCUUACUGAUCUCAGGAUCAAAUCCAGGCAUUAGCUGAUCCAGUGCUUCUAUAAAAGUUACCUGCACAAAAGGUUUCCGUUUUCGAUCAGUAACUACAAUUUAAAUCGAAAAACCAACAGAUUGGUACCUUAAAAUCUUAUUUUCUACUAUUUACACAAAAACAAGCUCAAUACAGGAAGAGACCAAACAAAGAACUAGAAAAUUGGAGAACAUUGCUAAUUGCAGUUAUUACAAUCUCAAGUACAAGGACACAACAUCACAAAGUCGUACUAAAGUAAUAUCAUUAGUACAGAAACAUCAUGUUACCUCACUUCCAAGAGCUGUGUAAACAUCACUGAACUCAAGACCAAUAUAACCACUUCCUACAAUUGCAAUCCACUCAGGGACAGACUCUAAUUUCAAAGCAUGGUCACUGGUGAUCACAGUCUUUCCUGCAGCGCCAAAAUGUAAACAUUCAAGGAAUAAUCAAGUCUGCAUGCUCCCUUAACAACUCUACGUCCAAAACAAGAAACGUACCAUCAACUUCAAUUCCUUUAGGGACAAACGGCACAGAUCCAGUGGCAAUGAUUAUAUCUUUUGCAGUAAUAAUAUUGUCCUUCCCAUAUUUAACCUUUUGUGGACCCUGCAGAAAUACAAAAUAUUGAUAUGAGUUAGGAUCAUCGUUUAAGAAAAGUUUGUAUCAUGUUCCUGUCUACAGUUAGUAAACGUGAAAGAAUAGAACGUACUACUGAGUACUGACCAGAACACUGCCAAAUCCAGUCAAUAUGUCAACACCAAUUGCCUUCAUUGAAUUGGUCAGAUUGUUUCGUAUUUUGGUAGCCAGAUUAUUAGCAUGAUCUGCCACACCCUGACGAUCAUAUCCAGCAGCUGAAACCUGUUUCCCAAAGGAAAACCAAAAACCAUAAGAUAGUGAAAGGUAAUGAGUAAUUCCUGAACUAGCUCGAUCUUCUACAACCAUUUCACACCAAAGACAAAGCUUGCAACUUUAAACAGAGAACAUGAGUUGAUAUUUACCUGGAGACCAAAGGACUUCAUGUGAUGUUCGUUCUGAAGUUCCCGCAUUCGACCACUAACAGCAAGAAGAGCUUUAGAAGGCACACAUCCUCUGUUAACACAAGUCCCUCCAACAACAUCUCCUUCAAUAAUGGCUGUUUUAAGUCCCUAACACAAACAAAAUCACCAAUGUUUCCAUAAUAAGCAGAGCAAAUCUUUUACUUUCAUCAAAUCAGGUUAUAUAAGAAACUUCAAACCUUUUCAACGGCGUGCAAAGCAGCUCCGUGGCCACCAACUCCAGCUCCGAUGAUGAUCAAAUCGUAAUCGAAAGAUUUCGGUGGAGCGCCAUUACCAUUACUUGAAGCAGAAGCGGAGACUUGGAAUGACUUCCUACUUAGAAAUUGGAUUCGGUUACUGCGAAUAGCCAACUGAUUCGACGUUGAGAAACCAAACGCUUCCCGCCGGAGUCCGCAGAACCGGAGACUUCUGGGCGUAGAGAAAACAGAACCAGAUGAUCCGAGCACGUGGUUUGGUCUUGUAAACGACGUCUGGGAGAACGAAAGCGCCAUAGCUGAUUGCAUUCUAAGAGACACAGACAGAGAGAGAGAAAACGAGGAAGACGCAGCUGACAAAUCUACCGGCGGAGACAGAGUGAGUGUAAAUAGCCAACAAACGGAGGCGGAGUUUUCAAAGCCCGCUUUGUUUGUUUGUUUUGUUUUGUUUAACCACUUUUUUUUGUACACGAGGCAUUUACGACUUUUCUUUCAUUUUUUCUAACCUGGUUUAAGUCUUAAAAAGCCCAUUGGGUCAAUAGACCUCGUAGCCCAUUUUUGGCUGUGAAUAUAUAUUUAAAUUAAUUUUUGGAUUUUGUAACAAACUUAAAAACAAAUCGCUUAAAAAACUAGUUUCUCUAGAUUUUAGGAACUUUUUGGAUAGUGAAGUUGAUUUUCAAAAUUAAAAUGCUUUAUGAAAUACCUCGUAGCCACUUCACGCUCAUAAGAUCGUGUAAUUUGUUUCAUUAGGGUUAUGUUAUUACUUGCUCGACAGUUCUAGUAGUGAAUUAAAAGUAGCCAGCAAGAUGUUGAUUUCGAUGAAGAAUGUGGAACUCGCAUGGGAACUCAUUAACCACUACUGCCAAGAAGGCUCGCUGCAGCGUCGUCCAAUCAACGAAUUCUUUGACUUUACAAAAUAUAGCCGUGGUAAUUUAUAUAAUCCAUCACCUGAAAAACAAGCAAGGUAAUUAAUUAUAUCUAUGCAUAAAUAUUCAUGAAACAAAUUGCUUGCUUUUUUCCUUAAUGGUUUUUAAUUUUAUUUUUCAUGUUGUCCUGGUGCAGCCGUGGGCCGAGGUUGACGCAUAUUGGAAAUUACCUUCUUUAGUUAAGGACAUGUAUGUAUGAUAAGGAAGGGACAAUCUUACAUGGACUUUUCCCUGAGAUUUGACGUGCAUGGUUGUUACACGAUCGUUCUAUGCUUCUAUGGCGUUUUGAAGAAAGGUAAAUUAUAUAAAACAGUUCACAACUUCAAGUACGUUUUCGUAAUUUUUUGCUUUGUAUUCACCAACCAGUAAUGGACGAAUUCUGGAGCACAAAAGCGAGGACGACCACCCUAUUUUAGUUGUUGGUCUAGUGAAACGUAGAUCAGAUUUUGUUGAAGCCAGCGCCGCGCAAUAUCUUUUGGUGCUAGCAACUCAUCUUGAGACUUGAGUUACUUUUUUUUGGAGUGUAUUUCUGCUCUAAAAAUGGUGUAGAUCCUCUUGCUCAAGUAGCCAAAGAAGCAUGAUAAAGUCAUUUGGUAAAUGGUAACAUGUUUAUGAUCAUUAUGCUUAAAUUCUCUGUGUUUCAAGAAAAUGCAAUUGUGUUAACUUGAUUUUUUCUAUAUUAACUUCGGUAUAUACCGAAUAAAAGGCUCCAAAAAAUCGAUUUUAAAGAUCAAAUGUUUUAUUUUAUUUUAUUAAUUUAUUUGUUAGAUAAAUAAAGGUAGCUACACAGAGCAGUAAUGUUAAAAAAAAUUCAAAUAUUUUGAGAAUCCCAAGGAGGACAAAGAUCAAACAUUCCAGUCUUUUUGUUCAGUUUGCAAGGUCCUUCUUCACGUAUCUUCCAUUCGCAUCUUUUGCAUCCAAACAUUGCAGAUUCUUGGUCUCUUUCUUGUAUGUAUAUACGGAAAUAACGAAACACUAGUCUCCAAGCAAAAGUGCAAAUGAAUUUAGUAUCUCCAGAAACACUGGGUGUAAAUUCAAAUGAUCACGAUCCACCAGCUAGCAUACGUCGGAGUCCAAAAUCAACGUCUUUUGAUGCACAAUGGUAUGCCAUUGGCCAAUAACCUGAAAGAGCGUUAUGUAUCACCACUGUUGUAUUUGGGUUCUCAACACUUGGUGGUGAAGCCAUGGGGUUUUGAGCGAGGGACAUUGUUACACUUGCACACAUAACGAUAAUGAGAGCUACAAGUUCUGCUAGAGCACCCAUGUUGUUUUUGUUUUUUGUUUUCCUUGCAAUAUGAAAGUAUAUUGAAUAUGGACUCUUUCCACUUAGUACUUUAUUGUAUUUAUAAUACCAAACUUUAUUGAUUAUGUUUCCCUAACAAGCUUCUUUGUUUUGUUGACUCAGUUACAUAGGUUAUAUGUUUUGAAUAAUAUGAGUCAAAGUAAAACUUAAUUAGGUAUAAAAGGAAAUCUCAUCUUGGUAAAAAGACAGCUAUAUCUUAUUAUAUAAAGUAUGGAUUUCAAAGUUGCUAACUCAUAUAAUUGUUACACAUGUCAAGUCAAACGAUCAGAUGUUUACAUGUGUCAUUCAAAAUUUAACUUUUUUAUUCUCUAAAAAAAAUUGAAAAUUUUAAAAAGUAAACAAAUUUACAUAUACUAAUUUAUACGUCUAUAUAUUUAUAAACAAUUAACAUUUAUUCAACAAAAGGAAAAUUAACAAAUUUGUCUUUAACUCAUCUAAUCAUAAGUGAAAAAUAUAACAUUUUGAGAAAAAUAGCUUAGCUUAUAGGAUUUAACUUUUCAAUUAUUUUCAUUUAUUAAUUUUAACUCAUUUAAUAUUAAUUUGCAUGAUGUAAAAUUAACUUACGAGAUUACGGCAUAUACAAAAAAUAUAUUUUCAACAAUGUUUGGUUUCUAAAUAUUUUUGUGGAUUGUUUUUUUUAAUUAAUUAUUAGCCCUAUGCGUUUGGGUAUUCGGGUCGGGUAUUUCGGGUUCGGGUUUUCGGGUUUAGAAGUUUAGGACCCGUUCGGGUAAUUUAAGAUUUUGGGUCGGGUUCGGUUUGGGUUCGGGUUUGGGUUCGAGUUUAUUUAUAUAUUGAAAUAUGAAAUUUUGUGUGCAAAUUUAUUAAAUUACUUGAAAAUUUCAAAAAUUCCCAAAACAACACGAGUAGUUUUGCUUGAAUAUAUCUAAAAAUACACAAAAAUCACUAAAAUAUCCAAAAAAAUCCUAAUAUUUUUUAUAUAUAAGUAUAAAUAUAACUAAUAUAUACUUAUAUUUGAGAUAUGUUUGGAUACCUAUUCGGGUUCGGGUUCAAAUUUUUCGGGUUUUGAAGUUUAGACCCGUUCGAGUAUUUGAAAAUUUCGGGUACACCCGCCUAAAUAGGCGGGCCUAGUAAUAUAUGUAGUCAAUAAUCUAUUUAUAACUUAGGUAUAUAAGGAAAGCUAUAUAUUUCUCACCAUUAAAGUCACAUAUUAAUUUUGGUAAAUAUAAAGCUAUAUAUAGUCAAUAAAAAUUAUAUAUUGAAGGAAAUCUCAUCACGAUUAUAUAAUUGGUCUUGAGUCAGUUAAAUAACCGUACCUCUUAACUAACAGUAUUUUCAUCUAAACAUGAAAUACUAAUUUUUAUUUUUAUUAGAAAAAUAGAAGUAGACAUACAUGCUAAUUAUUUUUAAAGCGAUUGAGAAUUCCAAGGAAGACAAACAUCAAACAUAUUACUGUUCUUGUUCAAUUUGCAAGGUCCAUCUUUGCGUAUCUUCCAUUCGCAUCUUCUACAUCCAAACUCGGCGAAUUCUCUGUCUCUACUCUGUUUGUAGAUAUCGAACCAAUGCAACUCCUUAUCCCAUAUAAAACCGCAAAAAAACAAAGUUCCUCCAAAAACACUCGGUCUAAAUUCAAAUGACCAAGUUCCAUUUACCGCCAUAUUCCGGUCUCCAAGAUCAUCAUUUUUUGAUUUACAAUGGUAUCUCAAUGGCAGAUGACCCCCAAGAUCAUUGUAUAUCACCACUGUUGUUCUUGGGUUGUCGAAACCGGAUGUUGGAGUUGGAGGGAUGCUAUCCUUUUGGCCUCGAGAUAUUGUUACACUAACACACAUAGUCACUAAGAAAGCCACAAGUUCUACUAGAGAUCCCAUUUUUUUUUUUUUGUUGCAAUAUGAAAUUAUUGUAUAUGGAUGAAUGACUCUUUCACUCGAUAUAUACUGUGUUACCAGUUUAUUACAUUUCCGUAACAUGUUUUUUGUUCUUCAUAUGUGGUCAAAUAAAAACUUAAAUGUCAUGGUUGAUGUAUAUGUAGUCAACUAUGGUGUUAAGCCCAAUAAGCUUUAUAAAAGCCCAAUAACAUUUUCAAAAGCCCGAGAAAACCCGUGAAACUACGUCCGAUCCGAAGAUCGAUCACGCGACUCUGUUAUUUAGAACGACGAUCGCAUUAUUUUUCUCCUAAUAAACAAAACGAGCCCGCCAGAUUUCUCUGAGACAGUGAUUCAGUUUUGGUUUUGGAACCUAAUUCUCUCUCAAGAGAUUCAGCUAAGAUGAGUACUAUGAAAUUUUGCCGCGAAUGGUAAGAGCUCUCUUAUGCUAAUUCUGUUCCUAGUUUCUGGAAUUGCACCUCUCUGCUCGUCUAGGUUUUUUCAAAGUUUCGAAAUUUGCAUGAAUUUUUUAGUUUUUGUUGUUUACUUUUGAUGUAUUUCUUCCGUGGUUGAACCAUCUAUGGUUGAUAAGGUGACAAUUCGCUAAAAGUGAGUACCUUUUUUCGAAUUUUGUUUUUGGGUCCUUUCUUAAUUGCAUUGUUGUUUCUGUUUGAUUUUGGUUCAGUAAUAACAUUCUGUAUCCUAAGGAGGACAAAGAACAGAAGAUCCUCCUCUAUGCUUGCCGUAAUUGUGAUCACCAGGUAUAGCUUUUGGUCAUUUUGUACCUUUUUUUUGUGUGGAAAAAGGGUUUUUAGUGUUCAAUGUAGUGCACAAAAUUGCGAGUGGGACUUAGUUUCAUUGCAAUUAAGAGACUUUAAUGAAACUGUUUCCUGCUUUUAUCUCUCUUUUAAUGCUCCUAGUUUCCUUAGUUUUACCAACCUCUCUAUUUACUAACUCCUUCAAUUAAGGCUUAGCAAGUUCUUAUGGUUUAUCUUUCUAGUGUUGUGUUUAUGAGAUCUAUAUGAAUACUUGAAGGGCCUCUUUUAGCUUAUUGAUUUACACAAACUGAGUAGUUAUUUGCAAUUUUUUAAGCUGCAUUAUCAAUCUUGUUGUUACAAAUUGACAGAUUAGAUUAGAUCAUGUAAAUGGGUUUGUUGUCCUCAUCUCAGAAUUUAUACUUUUUGUGGCACUGACUUGCAGGAGGUAGCUGAUAACAGCUGUGUGUACAGAAACGAGGUUCAUCACUCUGUAAGUGAGCGAACUCAGAUCUUAACAGACGUGGCUUCUGACCCUACUCUUCCCCGAACCAAGGCUGUGCGUUGCUCUAAGUGUCAGCAUAGGGAGGCCGUUUUCUUCCAGGUAUAACUCUCUUAAGCUCCAUUAUUUAUUUAACUACUUGGUUAUGCUGUAUCUUCACUGUUUGCUUCCCCAAAACAUUAUGCUCAAAUUCUGUACACCGCUUGAGGAUUUAAUGUAGCUAUCAUUGAAUGUGCAGGCUACGGCUAGAGGUGAAGAAGGAAUGACACUGUUCUUUGUCUGUUGCAACCCGAAUUGUGGUCAUCGCUGGAGAGAAUAAAGAGCUUUUCGGUUUCAAUUGGUGAGUUCUUAAGAGUUUUAGGAGUUGAUGUAGUUACCAGUAAGUGUAAUAUGUGGAAUGACGGGAACAACCUUCUGCCCCAGUCAGAGACAAAUCCGUAUUCAUGUAAUCUGUUAUGAAACCAUAAUCUCAACUUGUGUUUCACCAAACAUAAAGAUUGGAACUUGUUUCUCUUUGGCAUUUAGAGGAAAUGAGAAAUUCAAACCCAAACAUUAGCUACUGUCCUCCACGGCUCAUCUCCCAGAAGGCAACCUCUAGUUCAAGAACUCGUACAAGUACAUCUUCAGCUUCACCGAGCACCUCACCGGAGGCAUUCUCCAGACAACGUUCGGCAAUGUUCUUGACAGACGAACAAUACUGUUUAAACCCGUCAUUCCCCCAACGAUGACAAGCACCGGUAAGCUCCACCGGAGUUUUGUUCCCGUCUUCUAAACAAUGAGCAAAGCUCUCUUGAUACACUGCUUCAAUUGCCCAGAAAGCUGUCAUAAUCACCGGAUACUUCACCUCACUGCUCAUCAGAUCUUCCAAAAACCUGAAUUAACCAGAAACUCCGGUUUAUUUGCUGGUUCCUAAUUUCAUUUUCGAGUGUGAGAAAUCUAUUCAAUCAGCAUAUAUGAAAUCAAUAACCUGCCAUAUUCUUGAUUAGCUCUUUGAGGCACAACGGUCGAGAAAUCAACAUCCCAUUUCGAUCCUUCUCUUUUAAACCAUUCUAUUUCAUCAUUCAACGAUGCUAUACCACCAAGCACCACUUCCAUAUCGGAACUCUCGCCGGAAUCUUUGCAAGCUCUGAUCAACACACUCGCUACAAACGGCACAAACCUCCUCACGAACAGAUAAUCUUGCCCCUACAAGGAAACAACGUCGUUUAAAAGUCAUCGAGUGAGAUUUCAUAUUUUGCCUUGUUUUCAUCAGUAAUUACUAAUUACAGUACCAGCCAAGUUCUGAAGGACGAGAGAUCAACGGAUCCGUCACGGAUCGAGACGACAAAAGCAUGACGUGUAGCCGCCGUAUAGAUCGAACGGUGCUUAUCAAUCCAUGUGUCGAUCACCCCUCUCUUCUCCAUUGAAAUUGCUUCUUCUUCCUUUCUCUCAAGACUCAAGACUCAAGACUCUUCUUCUUCACCGAUUCACUGUCAACGCUUUGAUUUUCUGUUGUCUGUGACGUGCACGUUUCAUUGGGCUUUAAAUUAAUGGGCCAAGGCCUAUUAAAGUCUCGCCACGAUAGCUUAAUGAUUCUCCCAAAUCGACGGCUGUAAAGAGGCGCUUAAAUUUCUCAGAUUACGUGACAGUUUCUGAACCGUUGAGAUGUUUGGAUGACUAAAGUUUAUUAAUUACGUGGCACUUACUCAGAAGCUCUCUCACGUCACGUAUCCGUCGUUAAAGAGUGUGACGUGGAAAAUGUUUUGGAAUUAAUUUUGUGUGUUUGUAUUAUAUCACCGUACUAAUUAGCUCAUCUCCCGAAGCCAUGUGGUAAUUCUAAUUUUGUGUAUUUAUUAUUUUCUGUUAAGACGAAUCGGACAGAGAGAACUCCGGCGGCGGAUUGCACUUCCGGCAAGAUCUCGUGGGGAUAAAUAAGAUGGCGGAUGAGAGGUAUAAUCGGAAGAAUCCGGCGGUGAAGAGGAUUUUGCAGGAGGUUAAGGAGAUGCAAGCUAAUCCGUCUGAUGAUUUUAUGUCUCUUCCUCUUGAGGUAACAUCUCCGAUUCUAGCUUUUUAGAUCGGGAAUUUUGAUUCGAAUCUAUAUUUGAAAUUUCCUUUUUUGAGAAAAUCCCCUUGUCUUAUGUUGUUGUGUUAUGUUGUGUUGUGUUGUAAUUGUGUAUCUGUUCUGAGUGAUGGUGUUUGAUUUUAGGCGAUCAUGAUUAGGGAGGAUCGAUAUAUCUUCUUGUAUACACUGAAUUUACUAAGUCUCUCUACUUUCAACACUCGUGCAACAGAUAAAGUUUGGAUUUUUGUGUUUUUAUUGGAAUAACUGAGUCAAGUGGGGAAGAUUACGAACGAUUCCUUGAUCCACUCAGCUGUCAUACUAGUUCUUCGUUUCUAAUUUUUUUAACUGUGAAGACUUUUUCCAACAUGUCAUGGUCCAAAUAGAUUGCGCGCGAUGUUAUAGCUGUUUUUUACAAGUUCUUGUGUGAUACCAAAUAGUUUACAUGAUUACUCUUAUCUAUCUUUUAACUUCAGGAGAAUAUCUUUGAGUGGCAAUUCGCCAUCCGAGGUCCUGGUGAUACUGAAUUCGAGGGCGGGAUUUAUCAUGGGAGAAUUCAGUUGCCUGCAGAUUAUCCAUUCAAACCUCCUUCAUUCAUGUUAUUGACCGUAAGGAUCUUACUCUUAUUUCAUAUAUAAAAACACACAGAUGUUGCAAGUUCCAUAAGAGAGUAUGUAUCUAAAGAAUCUCUGUACUUUUGUUUCAGCCUAACGGGCGCUUUGAAACUAACACCAAGAUUUGCUUGAGCAUUUCAAACUACCACCCUGAGCAUUGGCAACCUUCAUGGAGUGGUAAAGUCAUGGAUCUCAAGAGACCUUAUCUCUUGACUUUUAUGUUGUUUCCUAAAAGAUUACUCAGACACUUGUAAUUUACAUGAGGUUGAACUAUAUCAGCUCUUUUGUAUUAUGAUUGAGCUUUGUUUCUUUUCAGUUCGGACUGCUUUGGUGGCUCUCAUUGCAUUUAUGCCCACAAGUCCCAAUGGAGCACUGGGCUCAGUAGAUUAUCCAAAGGAUGAGAGACGUACACUAGCCAUUAAAUCACGUGAGACACCACCUAAGUAUGGCUCUCCUGAACGGCAAAAAAUUAUUGAUGAGGUAUAGUUCCCCACUAGAAUACCCUUGGGUGUUGAACCACUAUGCAUAAUAUCCUGAUGAAAAUAUAUGAAUUUAGCUAGAUGCUUGCUGAACCUGUAGAGUAUGUGCCAUACCAUUGCAUUGCAUCAUUAUAAACCAUAGGACUAGCUGGUGGUCAAAACGGGAUCGCAAUAUAUUAUAUAUUAGGCUUGCAUAUCUCUAGCGGUUAUGAUUUAAUGUUUGCUCUAAGAGUAUCUGCUUUGUUUUAACUGCAAUCACAGCUGUUAUUAUUCUCUCCAUACAGUAAAAUUUGCUGCUCAAGUCCUAACACACCAUUUUACUGAUUAUUGUCGUUUUUAAAAAGUAGUCAGUUGCACAAAUAUAAAAAAAAAGACAAUAGUAGUGUUAACAAUCUCCUUUUGGUCUAAACUCUCGUCCCUUUCUUCAUGAUUUUUGUUAUGACUUUAGUUUCAUACCUCUGAUUCAUCUUCAAUUUUGGAAAAAACUUUUAGUAACCAUGACCUUUUAACAAGCGCAGAUUCAUCAGUACAUCCUUAGCAAAGCAACCGUGGUUCCAAAACCUCUUCCUCUGGAAUGUAGCCAAGCACCUUCCAUCGUAUCAGAAGCUCACUCCCAAGUUGAGCCACAGGAAGCGAUAACUGUAGUAGAAGAGCGGUCCAUCGCUACAACAGACACCAUAGUUGAUGAUCAAAUCAUAGAAGAGACAGCUGAAGCAGUCAAUACAGCAGCUAGUGUGGUUCCCGCUGCAGCACCUUUACCAGCGGUUGAAGUUGUGGUCAAAGCUUCUGUAAGUGGUGAGCAAAGGAUGGCCAGAAGAGCGGCUCAGAAGCCAGUCGAUGACAGACUCUUCACGUGGGCGGCGGUUGGGCUCACAAUCGCUAUCAUGGUUCUUCUUCUGAAGAAGUUCAUAAAAUCAAAUGGUUACAGUACUGGGUUUAUGGAUGAUCAGUCUUGAACUCUGAUGAAAGUCAAUGCUGCGUUUAAGAAAUGGGGUUGUGUUGUUUAAUAUUUUAUAAAUAUAAUUAAAGUGCAUAAUGGCGUAAAUAAUUUCUGUGUGACAUUGUCUUGCAACUUAGUUGAUAGAUUGGAUUAUAGCUUGUGACCAAGUUAACAAUAUGUAUUUUGGAAUUGAACACUGACGACCGUUUUAUCAAUACAUUGAUGCUUUGUUAAUAGAAUUGUUGAUUACCUCCACUAUGUUCAUAACUAUUUCCCGUUUUGAGUACAUGAUGUCUAAAAUGUAUCCAAAUUUUUAAAUCAAUAGAUUUCAUGGUCAAGUUUAACAAUUUGAUCAUAUAUGUAUGUAUAUGAACACACAUGUAGUGAGUCGUGUGGUUUAUAUAUUUGUGUGUAUUUUCAUUAUAAAUUACAGAAACAUAUUAGUUUUGGGGUAUCUUCUGCACACAUUAGUUUGGUGUGAUCUCAUCUUGUACCUUAUUUUUUUACUUUUCAGUUUAGAAAAGGUUAUCAACUUUGACCUUUGACUGCCAUAUAACGUUAAAAAGAGAAAAAGUUACCGAAGGUUCAAAUUAAUAAAUGAAGUUGAUCGUAAUGAAAAUAAUAUUUUUUUAAAAAAGAAGGGAUGGUGGCAAAAGAAGCUAAGUUAAAAGUCUAUCAGUCCUUAUUGCUCAGGGAUCCUCAGGUACUAAAACUAGCAAACACUGCUUUUGCGUGUCUUUGAAGUCAGAUUUUUAACAGCAAUUGUUUCAUCUGCCUAUUACUAUAAAAUAAAAAAACACUUUGAUUUAUGGGAACGUGACUGCUUUUUCCACUAUUAUAACCUUGACUCGUUUUUAAUGAAAAGAAGCAUACAUAUUUGGAUACUCACUUUUGCCCAUUUAUAACACCAGAGAGAGAGAUAUAGGGAUAGGGCGAGAGAGAGUUAUACUAAAGAAACUUGAAGGAGAGGAGGUUCUGAGUGAGAUAGAAGAAGGAAGAGAGAGAGAGAUGGGUAAGAGUAGUAACAUAGUUUUUGAUCGGAUUAAAGAAGAACGGCAGAUGUUGAGCUUUUUCAAGAUUUUUCAGAGGGCAGAUCUAUCCUCUGACUGCAUGGUAACGUUGUUCUUGAUAUCUUUGUUUGAAAAGUGGGAAUCUUUUUCUUCUUUUUGUUGAAUGGGUUUCAAGUCUACGGCUUAUUCAUCUUUUGGUUCUCUUUGUUUUAAAGAUUGCAACUGUUUUUCCUCUGAAUCUUUUACGUUCUCUGUCUUUGAAACGUUGAAUCUGUUGUUUCCCUGGUGUUUUAAGGGUCUCAGCUUCUCGAGGGUUGAAUCUUUAGGUUCUGUGUGUUUUAAAAGUUAGAUCUUGUAAAAAAAAUAAAAAAAGUUAGAUCUUGUUAGCUUUUGGCUGUCUUUGUUUAAUGAAAGGUUGAAUCUGUUAAAUCUCUGAAUAUUUACGUUCUCUGACUUUGAAACGUUGAAUCUGUUGUUUCUCUGCUCUCAAGACUCUUAACAGUUUAAUCUUUGAGUUCUCUGUGUUUUAAAAGUUAAAUCUUAUAAUCUUUGUUUAAAUGGUAGAGUCUUUUGGUUGUCUUUGUUUAAUAAAAGGUUAAUCUCUGACUCUUUACGUUCUAUAUGUUUGAAACGUUGAAUCUGUUCUUUCUCUGGGUUUUUAUGGGUCUCAACGGUUGAAUGUUAGGUUCUCUGUAUUUGAAAAGUUAGAUCUUUCAGCUUUGGCUAGAAGGUAGAAUCUUUUGGUUGUCUUUGUUUAAUAAAAGUUUAAAUUCUGAAUCUUCACGUUCUCUGUCUUUGAAACGUUGAAUCUGUUGUUUCUCUGGUGUUUUUAACACUCUUCAUUGUUUGUUCCAACCAGAGAGCGCUUCCUUACAGCUUCAUAAGCAAAGUCUCUGAGAAAGACUUCUCUUACAAGAUGGUUAUAAGAGCGCAAUGGGGAAAGACAUGGGAUGUAGAAGUCUCCAAGAACCCGACAUACUACUACAUUGAGACGCGUGGAUGGGAUCUGUUUGUGAGUGACAAUGCUUUAGGACAAAACGAGUUCAUUACCUUCACUCACAGAGGAAAUAUGGUCUUUCAUGUCAACAUCUACGAGCAGAAUGGCUUAGAGAUGCGUAAACCUCGAAAAUUCCAGACGAUGGGUCCUUCUAGUAAGCUUUUGUGCUUUUAAUGCUUUCUUUAAAACAGAGAAUAUGAAGUUGAAGAAGACUAAUUAUUUUACUCUUGAUGAUUGAUGAAAACAGGUGGGAUCAAGAAAGAAGAAGGAGAGAACAGCCUCAUAGAUGUGAAGAAGGAAGAGGAAAGUGAUGAAUCUCCGGGACGAGCUGAGUUCCUAGUUAGAAAGAAGAAGACUGAGGAUUCCAAAUCAUCAAAGAAGAAGAUGACGAGAAACAAAGUGAAGAAGAAGAGCAAGAGCAAGAGCAAGCAAGUGCUGGAUGGUGUUCCAGAGUUCAAAAUCACCAUAAGGAAAUCAUACCUCAAGUUCCUGGUAAGAUUCAAACCAUAAGACAGAACCAAAACAAGAACACAUCUCUGUAUAUUGGUGAUAAUGAUUUUCUGGUUUUUAUGUAUCAGGCAAUACCAAAACAUUUUGUGGAUGAUCAUAUCCCGAAUAAGUCUAAGAUUUUCACGAUUCGUCACCCGAAUGGUGGUUCAUGGAAGGUGCUUUGCUUGGUGAGGGAGAUUCGGACAAUCUUCUCAGGUGGAUACUCGAAAUUGGCAAGAGAGUUCCCUUUGAUGGUUGGUGACAAAUGCACCUUUAAGCUUAUCAAACCCUUCGAGUUUGUCCUUCUUACCUCCAAGAAGAACAGAGAGAAGAUGGAUCAGUGCAUGAUCGAUUGAGGAAUGAAUGUUAAGUGUCUUGCUUUCUUUCUCUAUGGAGACAUUUUAUGUAUGUUUUGCGUGCUUAUUAAUUUCGCUGAAACUCUUUAGCUUGUAUUUCCUGUAGAACUACUUAUGUCCUGAACUUCGUUGUAAGAUUGUUAUGCUAACAAAACUAUCUAUGUUGUUGUUACUUGUCAAGUUUAAUUCCUCUUCUCUUCAACCAUAAAAACAAAUGGACAAAUCAUAAGUUAAAAACACAUUGAUAUGAGUGGAGUUUGGUCCAAAAAUCAAAAGAGUCUGUAUUUAUUAGAAGGUGGAGUGUUGUUUAUCCAUACAGAUGAACAAAACACCAGUCACACAACAGUUAACAAUAGAAAUUCCGACCACAAAAACACAAAUUAUAGAAUACACGGUGGUGUUAUUUAGAGUUCUCCGAGCAAACUCAGAUGUGAGCCUUGACAACGGUCACAGGGCAUGCAACGUUGUUGACAACAUGGUUGCUUACACUUCCCAUAAUCAUCCUCUUAAGACCACCAAGGCCUCUGUUACCCAUCACAAGGCUUGAGAGAGGAAUCUGUUCAGCUGCUGCACAAAUCUUCUCACGAGGAUCUCCCCAAUAUAUCUUCAUCACUACUGUAAUCUGCACAUGUUUCACAACAGUUGAAUUUUGGUUAAAUACAGAACCAAACAAUUGUGGUAAAGAAAGUCACAUUCAUAUGGAUUGACAAUGUUCACUUAUUAGUCACAACUAACAAGGCAACAUAAAGCUUUCAAUGAACUUCUGAAUAAAACUAUGAUAGAUGUAAUGUAACAUAUUCAAUGUCAGUACCGUUACAGGUUAUUCAAUAGAGUAUAGUCCCACCAAUCCUCAGAUUAAUUUGUCUAGAACACCAGAGAUAGACCAUUAUUUUGUACAAGUUAUCGGUACUCUUCAGUGAUGCAUAUUCAUAAACUAUCCGCAACUGGAAGAUCACCAUCUUUGGGAAUCAUAAUCUUAAUACUCUGAUUCAGGUAUUGUUAUGUGAACAUUAGUAAACUAAAACUGUUGUAAGCAUAAAAGUGUUUCCAGUUGCAGAGAGGUUUUAUGGAUUAUUCUUUCAUUAAAAGGGAAAGAAGAAGUAGCUUACCGUUUUCUUCCUAGCGGCAGUAUUGACAAUGUCAAGGGUUUCAGCAUCUGGCUUCAAUGCAUACUUUUUCAUCACAGCAGCGUCAGAGAAUUCACUCAUAGGAAUAAAAGCUGAAAAGUUACAAACACAAAACCAGAGUCAAACAACAACGAGAUCAUUAGUAGGAAUUCAAACCAUAAACUUGGGAAAGAAUUAAGAUGAUCAUGAGCAAAACACGAUCAACUACUACUUCAAAUAGAUUCUUUCCAAAUUUAAACAAGCAAAUCAUACAGAACCAAUUAUAGAUCAAACGAUGCAUAAGUAAGUCAGGUUCCUUCAACAAAGGUAUGCAAGAUCAGACAAAACCGGAAAAUCAUAAGUUAAAUCAUCAGCGAUCACACCCAAUUUCUAUAUCACGUUUCCAGGAAAACAAUAUAAAGGUGAAAAGGAAUUUGAGAGAGAGAGAGAGAGAGAGAUUAAGAAGGUACGUGAUCCAACGGUCUCCCAGAGCUGCAUCUCGCCUUCCUCGUAAUUCAUAUCGUGAGCAAUAGUGAUUAGGAUCAGAUGAUCUCCGUCGCGAACCACGUUAUCGAUCGCCCAGCUCAGAGCCUUCUUACUGCAGUCCGAGAAAUCCACCGCCACUCCGAUCCUUCGUCCACCACUCUCCGCCAUAACUCUCUCUGUAGGUAUACUUUUUUCUCUGAAAGCUGAUUCUCUCACUCAAAGACAAAUGGGUUCUGAUGUGGAAGAAGGGACUAUGUAUUACUAAGGAGAUUGAAAUGGAUCAACGAUUAAUAAUUAUUAGUUAUUCGCUGUAAUGCUGUCUAACGAUACAGAAACAUCAUGGCCGUUGAAUGGAGUCCACGACCGAUCGCAGCCUUACGAUUAAAAUAGCUCAAAAAAACAGUGGGUGGAAAAUAUCUUCACGGAGGCAAAUGUAACGGACAAGAUAAGGGCGGGGUCUGGGCCCACCAAGUUUUUCAACACUGUCCAAAAAGACAAACAGACAUUCACGUUCUUAAUUCAAAUAGUCUCUCCACUAGUUUAGUAUUUUAAAGACGGUCAGAGUCUGUUUUUUCAACUAAUCAUGACAAGUAAAGGAAAAUUCAUGGUAGCUUCAAAUCUUGAGAGCUCGUGUGAUUUCCCAGCAAGUGUCGUCCGUUUCAUGACCGGAACCCAAAUUCCGGCUACCGCUGUUUGCUAAAAUCACUAGAAACCAUUCGUUCUCCAAUGAAGACGGAUACAUUAGCUGAUCAUCCUGAACCACCAAUAAUUUUACAUUGCUUCUUUUAUUCAUUCAUUUUACCGCCAUAUAUUAGCUACUAUUAUAACCAAAUAUAUAUAAUAACAGAUUGCUUUGUUACCUCUGGGAGGUCACAGAAUUCAUCAGGAGAUAUUUGAAGUAUAGCUGAUGCAGACUGACCAGUACACCACGCGUAUAGUUUGGUUUCCUCGUCUGCAAGUGUUAUCGUUAUGUGGAAUGUUCUCACUACUUCUGUGUUACUGUUGCAGCUUACUCGGCAGAAACUACAAUGCAGGUUCGCUCCAUAAGAUGAUGAUGAUUCUUCAUCUAUGAAAUGGCCGCAAAGGCUAUGAGCUAGUCUAGUGUUGAUGUUAUGGCAUUGGUCGAUCUCAUCCAGCUUAACCCGACAAAUCUGUCCAAUAAAGAAAAAUAAACGAAUUAUCCAGACGUGCAAAGGAAACGCCACAUAAAGCUCUGUGAAUCAUUUAGAGAGCAAGACGAACAUUUAUUGCAGGUUUUCUCUGUUUUGAUAUUUGGGAGAGAGUGGAGAUCAGGUGAAUACAAGAAGAGGUCAGAAAUGCAGGCAAGCAGCUAAGGUUUACGAAUGUAGCUUUCUCGUCUUUCUCAUGCCAUAACAUCUCAAUGCUGCUCAACCCAAAAACAAGAACUCCAUUAAUGUUUAAGCUAAAGCAAUAAACCAAUACCUACUGUUACUUAUUGAUAAGUAUUCAGUUCAUGUUUGAGCUAAAUCAGUUUCCCAAUAGCGAUGGAUCCGUAGUAUAUCUAUCAGUUUCAAAGCAAGAGAAACGGCUUACCAGUUCUCUUUUGUGAUUUUGCAGGAUAACCCAGACACGUACACGACAUGACCAAGCCCUAACCUUCCCAACGACCUGGAAACCAUAUAUUAUAUAUGGUUCAAAUUUCUGUUAAACAGAAUGUUAAAGCCUUCAAAUUUCUGUUCAGAUGUCGUUUCGAGAUUCAUGAAACACGCUUAUACCAGUAAUUGGUAAAAUGGAGCUUAGCCCAUAUUGCUCCAGUUGUGUCCUCGAUCUUCAAAGAAAAGACCACUCCUGUGGCGUUUGGAUCACAUGAAAUGUCUGUUACAACCCCAUAAAGACUGAUGCCAGUCGUUUUGUCACGAAUGUCCGUUAUCAUCGUCUGCAGAACUUCAACCAAGGAGAGGAAUAUUAGCAGAUGCAGCUAAGACAUAGAUUUUCAAAUAAUAGCCAGAGCAGGCUUUACGUAUAAUCUCCUAGGCUUACAAGGCUGUAAAUUUCCAACAGAGAUGAUAUUGUGCGCCAUAUAAAAGCAAAACUGUAAGACUUAUGAAUGCAUUUUGGUGCUAUGAUAAGAAAAACCAAUAAAUGGUAUGCAUAUGAAUAGGAUCUGUAGCGAUAUGAACCUAGAUUCAGUGUGAACCUAUUAACACGGAAGUGAUGAAGAACCUCCCUAUUGCCUGAUUUCUAAACACGGAAUUGAUUAAGAACCUAUGAACCUAGAUUCAGUGUGAACUUUACAAAUAUCAAUUACCAUAACCAUCAAUUAACAUCAUGCUUGAAUAAAUGGUAUCUUAACUUCUACUCACCCGAAAAGGAUAAUUACUGAAGUCUACAGACCCAUCGGCAUCACGAGGCAAUGUCACCUGUGAAACUCCGACUGAACCAAGCAGUUUAGAUCCUUGACACUGAUGUUGUGACAACGCUACACAAACCUGAAGAAAAAAAAAACAAAUCAAUGCAAAAAUCUGAACAGAAAAAGGAAGCAACAUAAAAAAAACUUCAUUUACCCGUUCCUCUUGUAAGGUUGAUGGCACUAGAUAGAGAUGUGUUGCGCUACCGUAUUCAAGGCAGAACUCAUAAUUUCCUUCCAUUGCACUCUCUUCGAGACUAGAAAUAUAAGGCCUCUCAAUCCCAAGCACACUUCCCACACUGAAAAUGAAUCUAUAAGAAGGGGUUGGUCGAAAAAUUUAAAGGUAGAAGCACCCAGCCAGGAGCUUACCUCAGAAGGUUUGCCACAAUGACUUGCUCUCCCCACAAGAUAAAUUUUAACCUAUCGCCAUCACCAUCUACAAGUGAAAUUUGCCUUCUACGUGCAGUACUAAACGUGAGUUCAGAUUCCAGAGGACCUAUAGAUUCAAUUCUGCUCUCAAACAAAGAGGGGAACAUGAAAUAUUACUUUAGAAGUUAAGUCAUGGUAACCACUCAAUUUCUCAAAACAUAUACUUUUGUUAUGGGGUACUUUACGCAUAUUUCUACAAUUUUACUAUAAAAUCACAACACUUGGAGUUAUACUAGGCAUUACUUCCAAAAGGUUUUGAUCUGAUAAAAAUAAUCACUGUAUUAGUAUUUGAAGUUUCUUGAAUGUGUUUGCAACUAGGAAUGUGAAUAGUAAGUUACUUUUACCAAGAUUGGUAGUAAGAUUGUUUACCCACAUAUUCUCUUACCUAGCAUACAGAGAGUAAGAAGCUCCAUCGUUGAAAGCAUCAAGAGAAACAGAUGAGAAAGUAUCGGAACAAAAUUGAGCUGCUAUGAGGAUUGCAUCAUCAUCUUGGUCCUGUGGUAUUUGAAAGUCAGGUAAAGACUAAACCACUCUUUUUCAUAUAAACUUCGCAUGAAAACUGAGAUGUGUUAGGACUAACUACAAGCAAAUUCAAUACUGCAGUUCUAAUUUCUCUUUCAAAAGAUUGUCAGAAACCAAACCUCAUCUAGCAAUACGACAAGAUACUCAGUUGGAAGUAACCGUGGAGUGCCAAAUCCUUCUCUCGCGGUACGAAGGUAGCAUCCAGUGAUCAAAACUUCUCUGCCUUUCCGAAGAAUCCCAUUUGGUGUUUCCACCAACUCAUAAUACCUAGACAAGAGACAUUAGAUCCUUAAGAAACUCUAUACAGACAUCAUAAACUUAUGACAAGCAGUCAAACUCAUCUCAAUCCGAGAUGAUGAUAAUUCACCUCUACCGAAUAAGCAUACCUCCGAUGUAGAUAGAGAUCAAUGGUGUUGGAGCUCCAAAAGUCCCCUAGUGUAAGCAUGAAUAUGUUUGUACCUGAAAUAGAAUUUAUGUUUUAAAUGGAUAACCACCAACUUGGCAUCGUACGGCAGGGGAAAUGAAUGUGCUGCCAGAAUUUGUAAGAUACCAGGAAGAACAUCGGCAUUGAUAAUAACAGCUUCCAAAACGCUGUUCAUGGACAAAAAGUUCUUCUCAUAAAUGGAGUCAAUUGUAACGGUAUUAGCGAGUCUUCUUCUUCUGUGACCCUUCUUCAACUGAUCUAUAAGUUCCGGCUUCUUCUUUGACAUUCCUGGUUUGUUUUGCUCAUGCCAUGCCUACAACAAAAACAUUCAGAGAAACAUCCAGAAUCGACUACAGAAUGUAAAUUAACAAAUUCAAAGCUAUAUCUCAUAUAAUAAUAACACAUUGAUCAAUCUCAUUGGCCAAGAGAAUUCCCAAAAACAAACUGAAAGAAACGUUACAAUGUUACUCAUCAAAUCAAAGCAUCCCACAUACUAUAACUUCCCCACCGAUAAAAACAUUUCAAAAUCGAAGUAUGAGAGAGAUUAGCAGCACCUGAGAGAGAUCGGACAAGAGAAUCGCGGCAGUGACACCGCUAGAAUAAGCAGUACAGGUUUUCAGAAUACGCGAGGCGACCCAGCCCCAACCCGGACCACUAGCCUCAGUCAUGGCUUCGCCGGGACCCCUCUUACUCUCUUCCUUCUCAUCUUCGUCGUCUUCCGGUGAAAUCACAGUUCUGGCGUAGUCCAGGAAAGCCAGAAAUGGAUCUUCUACUUCUUCCUGGUCACCAAUUUCAAUGAGCGAUGCUCCGUUUGUAUCCCCCAUCAGAGCUCGGAUACCAAUUCAAAACCCUAGAUUUGACGUUACUGAAAUUGCCGGGGUUUAUCAGGAGGAAUUCAGGGCAUUUGUGCUUUCGCGGGGAAUUUUUAAAAGAAUUAAAAUCAAUUCGGUGCUCAAUUAAUAACGCGCCGGCAAAUUCCUCAAUUAAGAUAUGCGUUAAUCUAAUUGAUUUUCCUUUUUCAUCAAAAGGCCCUAACUUUCAGGUCUUUACACAUUCCCCACUAUAUUUAUCUUGUGAUCAAUUGUUUUCAUUCUCCCGUAUAAAUGUAAAUUUUGAAACAAAAAUCAAAGGAUAACAGAGUAAAAUAGUGUUGGCUCUGUUUCUACAUCACCCAUUUGGGGUUUCAAAGUCACAGUCCAAACUUCUUAGGCCUGAGAUAUCUUACGCCAAACUUCUUAUGCGAUUCGUUUUGAAGAUGUAACUGGUCCAUACUUCAAAGGAUAACAGAGUUAAAAUAGUGUUGGCUCUGUUUUCCGAACCAGUUUCGACAACCACCACUAUCACCUGGUUUUCUCUUAUUACCUGCAAUAGUUCAUCUUUAACAGAAAAUAUAGGGAGAUACUGUCGUUGCUCCCUCACAGCUUCUCCUUUCUUCAUAUUGUGUACAAAUUUAGCCUCACCUUUAAAAUCUAGAAGCCCGAAUUGGAACAGGAGAAGAUGCAGCGAUAUCCCAUGGAGAAGCAGAAGACAUAGUUGAACGUUCUGCUCGGCGAGACAACGACUCUGGUGAGAAAAUUUUAUCACCGCCGGUGAGGUUAUGGGACUCGCUUUCCAAAUCUUUUAUAGUGAGAAUGAGAAUCUCCCAAAACCUUUCUAAAAUUAUAACAAUUGCUAAUUCUUUAAAUUAUACAUCGACCCUUCAUCUUUACACCGCCUCAAUAAAUAUCCCUCUUAUUUUUUCAAGCACCAUUUAUUCUUCCUCUAGUGAAUCUCUCUAACCUCUUAGAAUCAAGAUUAACGUCCAGCUUCAAAGGAUCCAACGACAGCUUCGAGCGUAAAAAUACAUCGAGGUUAAACCCGCUCCCAGUUUCAAUGUCCUCGCGUCCCGCAGAGCUCUCGGGUUGCUGAUUGGAUUGGCUAUCUUUGGUUCUAUUCAUGUUUCUAAGAGUAGUAGUUAAUCUGUUGUUGUCAUUGUUCUGACCAAAGUUCAAGAGCCUUUUAACGGUGUCUAAAGCCGGGUCAAUAAUAUCCAAGAAUCCUGUGACCCACGAAGCAUCAUCAACAACCUCUGUGCGCUGUUUUGCAAUGAAGUAAAGAUUAAUAUAUAAACUCUACAAGAAGAACCUGCUAUAAUAUCAAGAAUGUGUACAAGAGCUUACUUGUUGAAAAUAGAGGUUACGGAUUUCUUCAGCACGUUCGGUGUCUCCUUGAUCUUCCUCAAGUUGUGCCCAUGUCAUCCAUGUAACGUAGCUUUGUGAGUUAAUGUUCAAUGAAGAUCUGAAUAAUCUUCUUGCUGCUGAUAAGUUUCCUGCUCUCUGCUCGAGAACUCCCCACGCCUGUAGAGACAAAGAAUUUGUUUCAGCAUCCUCCAAUAAUAUGCUAAUGAUUUAGCAAACUUGCCAGCUAAUUUAUGAUUCAAAUGUUUUUGGCUAGCAAGUCUUAUUCCCUCGUUUUUACAAUGUUUAUGUUCAUUCGCUGAGAGGACAGCGAGAAGAAUUUAUUAGUUAUACCUGUAGACAGCGAGAAGCACUUUCGGUAUUUGCAUCAAUGGAGAGAGCUCUUUGGUAAAGUUCUCUAGCUGUUGUUGUGUUUCCUUCUUUCCAUUCCAUCCAACCCCAAGCCUAAACCGGAAUACACUUUCACCAAUCAUUUCCCCUUUCAUACACGAUUGUAAAGACUCUUGAAUUCGCUAGCCAGAUAGAACUGGGUAAAACUAAAGUCUGCUAAGUGUUAAUUUACAAGAUAAACCAAUAAAACGGGCGUAAAGAACUAUUAGCAAAAUCUAAAGCUCAAACUUUAAGGAAAACGUAUAAACAAAACCUAUUUGAGCAGAUCAAUCAUGUAAAGAGCAACCAAACUGAAUCUUGUAUACUUACAAUCCAAACAGGUUGAUGUCUAGGAUCGAGCUCUGAUGCUCUCCUUAGUAAAGCCCGGGCAAGAUUAGCAGAUGAAUGUUUGUACUCCAGUAAGCCAAGGGACUGAAGGAGAACAGGGUCUCUAGGAUUUAGCGCAUGACCUAUCUUCAGGAGCUUUCUUCCACGCUCAACAUUACCUACUCCAGCUUCAAACACCCCCCAUACGUGCCACGCAAAUCUAUUCUUGGGGCUUGCCUGGACAGCUUUCUGUGAAAAAAUAAAAUACGCUUUCAUAUGUAGCUCGAUCGCUUAACAGGCAGUAAGUCAUUCCUGGGAUGAAUAUACAGCCUCCACUGCUUUGACCUCAUUGUGAAUGACAAAUAUAAAAAAGGAUGUAGCAGUUAGUAGUUACCUCAAAAAGCUUUCUAGCAGCUGGGUAUCUUUCCUGCUGUAUUUCCAACUGUGCCCAUGCCUGUUCAUAAAUUGAACAUUUAGUAAGAAAAGGGAAGCUCAUUCAUAACUACAAGCAGCCUUUUAGAAACUAAAUUAUGUGACUGAUGAGGAAAAUACAGGGGGGGCCAGAAUGUGGUUCCAUGAAAAUGGCAGUAGCUCCAGUAGCAUUCUCUUUUUACACAAUUAUCUAAGAGGAUUAAUCACAGGAUGCAGCUUUAUGGAAUGGCAUUGUCCUAGUUGGCUAGUUCUCAUCGUAAACAUGCUGAUGAUACAAAACACUUACCAACCAACUGGCACAACUCCUUGAAUUGCAUAUAGUCGCCUGCUUGAACAGGUACCUUGCCUGUUCAUACCGGCCAGCUUUGGCCUCCAACAAGGCAAGUGUUUGGUAGAUAUACUCGUUUCUGCCACAAAACUUGAGGCCUUUGGCUAGAAGAUUCCUUGCUUUACUUAUAUUUCCUUGUUUUAUCUCCAGGUUUGCCCAUCCAUGCCAGGCUGCUACAUGCUUCUUGUCAGCCACCGUGGCUGCAUCAAACAACUCCCUGGCUCUUCUUACAUUUCCCAACCUGUUUUCCAGGACAGCCCAACACUGUUUCAAAGUAGACAGGUACAAGAUAUGCAUGAGAAACAAAAAGUUGGCUUCAAGUGUUUCCUUCAAAACUCAUGUCAAAAUCAAAUUAAAAGCCAAGCAGCACCUGCCAAAUGUAUGAAUUCUCUCCUUGUGUAGAUUGACACCCUUUUUCAUACAGGAUUCGAGCUUCAGCUAACUUGGAUUGUUUGCUUAGUAUCUUCCCCAAUGCCACGUACGGUCUCCCAUCCUCCGGCCAGUAAGCUAUGCACUUAAAACCCAACAACACAGGAUUAGAUUCAGUACCAUGUUCAACUUGCUACAUCUAUCUCUCUUUUUCAAAGUCUAGCGAUCAUUCAUCAAGAAGCUAACUAUCAACGAAUCAUUAGAAACCUGAGAGCCAUUCUCUAAUUUCAUACUAUACUACACAUUGAUUGUUGGAACAAUCAGAAUUGCAUAAUCAUACACUGAAUGAUCACGACCAAACAGCAGAAGACAGCGAUGUUACUUACCUUCUCUAGAAUCUUCUCGGCGUCUUUGUAUCUGAAAUUUCUCGCCAAAACCUUUGCUUUGUACAGAGACAAGUCCAAAUUCACCGCAAGCGGUCUCUCUUGAGCUCUUGCAGCAGCAGCGGCUGAAGAUGACGACGACGAUUCCGAUCUCUCCGGCUCAAAUAUCGGCAUCUUCUUAGCUAUAUUACUCAGACCAGCAUCGAUCCUCGCUGGAUACUUUUUUCCCUCUUCCUCACUAGAUUCCUUAUCGGAAUUCUCCAACAACGGCCGUCGAACUACUAAUACUCCCUCCUCCGUGUUAGAUUCCUCUCCCUCGCCAUUGGCAGAUUCCUUUUGCGGCGAAAAUACACCUGAAGAAGACCUGUCGACGACUGCAUACAGAUACGUGUUCUUAGAUGAGAAAGUAGGAUGACUGAGAAACGAUUGACCGGAGAUUCCAUGAGUUCCGAUGUGGAUUUUCGUCGGUGACUUACAGAGAUUCUCAGGAAUUUGAGGAGUGAGAAACGAUAGCGAGAAUGAAGAAGUAUUGGCCGGAGAAGGAGAUGAAGACGAAGAAUUCGGCACGAAGAAGAAGUGCAUUGUUUAAAAAAGCUUUAACUGAUAAAACCGUUUGUGAGCUUUUUCAUGGAGGAGAGACGGAGAAGCUAGGCGGGCUCGGGGAAGAAGAAUGAUGGUCAUGAAAAGUACGAUGUUACCCUUAUAUUAAUCUCAGCUUUUAUGUAUAUUGUAAUGUUACGUUAAGGGUGAUUUGGUAAUACAUCGGAGAAUACGACUGUGCAAUAACCGGCCACGUUGCUAAAGUUUUUGGAUGGCUUAGCUGAAUUGGAUUUCAGUGACACGUGGUAAUAUCUUAUUGGUUUGAUGCUCUGAGGGAGAUUCUUAGCCAAAAAAUCAGUAGAACUCUGGUAUGGAUAGGUGCAUGAUUAAGUUCGUAGUCAUCCAAUCACAAGAGGUUGGAAAUAAAUUUUUCUUUUUCUUCAAUUUUAGUUUAGCUAUAAUUUUUCUAUUGUUAUAGUUGGAAAAUAGUAAGAAAAUUUCCACCAGAAGACUGCAUAUAACGAUGAAAAAACAUGACAAAUAUGGUACUAUUGAACUAUAUUAGAUAACUUUUUGCGUUUAGGACCAGAAAAAAAACACCAUGCUUUGGUGGCUUGGUGCAAAGCCUUUGCGUAUCAAAGGAAGCUAAGGCUUCCAGAGCUAUAAAAGUUGUCAAAAACCAGCUAUGUGAUAUUCAACAAAACGGAAUGCAAAUGGAUCAUGUAUAGUACAAUGCGUGGAUUAUGCAAAUUAAUGAUUGAUACGUACGUAUCAAUCUGGACCGAAAUAAAACUUCUUUUUUUUUUUACGACCGAACAUAACUUACGUAUCUAAUAUGUUUGAUAUGCAAAGCAGCCCAAACAAGACCGUAUAUAAAAUAUACACAGUUAUUUCUAGCAAAACUUGUGGCCUUAGCUUGGCAGCCCCGGAAAAAUAUGUAAGUAUUAUCGGAAAAGAAUUGUUACGUUACUCGAAGCCGACCGUAUGUAUUUCUUAUGAAAAUCUGUCGGAAAACAUAAACGUUGACUUGUGAUUUAAAUACGGUCUACAUGAUUCUGUACACAAAAAAUGAUCUAGAUGAUAACAUAAGAAAAAACAAAAACAAGGACGAAUAAGAAGAAAUGUAAAUAUAUAUAAAUGAUAAAUUUUGAUAAGAACGUUAACCUAUUCUUUGUAUUUAAUAUCUGUCAAUCCAGUUACAAUGAAUUAAAACCUUAACCUGAUAAGACUGGAAUUACAAUUCUCCAUUUUUAUCACACAAGAACAGAGCACACAAGGCCUAAUUCUCCUCACAACAACAAUGAUCACGCAUGAUAAAUCUCUAUCCUUCAUUUCUAUCUCUAUUUAAACUCGAUCUUUAUUCUUCUCUUUAGCUCUUCACUCGUGCCUAAUUCCCUCUCACAUGUGCUCUUAUCACAUUUAUUACAGGACGACUAUGGUCAAUUUAUUUUACAAACUUUUAUUAUGGAUUCCAAAUUUCAUUAAAAGUCACAGUAUACCAAUAUGUUUUUACAUUUUUAUUGUAUUCCUAUGCAUAAGUCAAAUAAGGAUGAUAUUCUCGUAGACACUUAUAGUAGAGGCUAGAGCAAAUAAUGAAAAUGAUAGUGGGGAUUUUGCAUUGAAUGUGGCUACCAAAUCCAAAGUAGUUGAGAAGCUCUAAAUGUAGAACAAAGUACGAUAUAUAUUCUUAAAUGUAAUUACACAUCCUCACCGAUCCCACUGUGUUUCCUCAUAGUUUUAUCGAACUAGUAAUUGUUUGUAUUUUCUCUGCACGUUCUUAUUAUACAAAAGUCCUUAGUUCAUCAAUUCAAUUGGUUAGAAAACACAUUAGAGUAUAUAUUAUAUAUGAGAGAGUGUCGCUAUAACUUAUACGCUGUAUUGUCAGUACGUAAACUAGGUGAACAUGGAAUUAAAUCAAGGAUGACAGGUUAUGAUAGGAAUAGGAGAUUAAUAUUAAAAGAGACAAUUGGUAUCACUCAUUAAUUGCUUCGUAGAAAAUUUGAGCAUGAGAGAUUGACAUGAGAACAUGCGGAGAAACGCGGUGUGAAAAAGAGCUUGAAGCUCUCUCAACCAUAUCUCAUAAAUGUUCGUUGUACUUGCUAUAUAUAGUGUUAUUGGCUUAGUCAAUUGAGCUAUAACAAUUGUAUAGUGAAUAACACGAUACUCCAACACUUACUAAAAGAUAUGGGGAAAGUAUCGUUUGGGUUUUUGGGUUUGAUGCUUGUAGUGGUGGUGAUUGGGGUUGUGGAGUGUAGGAGAUUUGAGAAGGAGACGUUAGGAGGUGGUGGUGGUGGUGGACUUGGCGGUGGCUUUGGUGGUGGGAAAGGUUUUGGGGGAGGAAUUGGUGCCGGGGGAGGUUUUGGUGGUGGUGCAGGAGGAGGUGCCGGUGGUGGUUUAGGAGGAGGCGCCGGUGGAGGAGGAGGUAUUGGUGGUGGUGCAGGAGGAGGUGCCGGUGGUGGUUUAGGAGGAGGUGCUGGUGGAGGACUCGGAGGAGGUCAUGGUGGAGGUAUUGGUGGUGGUGCUGGAGGAGGUGCUGGUGGAGGACUAGGAGGAGGCCACGGUGGGGGUAUUGGUGGUGGUGCCGGAGGAGGUUCUGGUGGAGGACUUGGAGGAGGUAUUGGUGGUGGUGCCGGUGGUGGUGCCGGAGGAGGUGGAGGACUUGGAGGAGGUCAUGGUGGAGGUAUUGGUGGUGGUGCUGGAGGAGGUGCUGGUGGAGGACUGGGAGGAGGCCACGGUGGGGGUAUUGGUGGUGGUGCCGGAGGAGGUUCUGGUGGAGGACUUGGAGGAGGUAUUGGUGGUGGCGCAGGAGGAGGUGCCGGUGGAGGUAUGCAUGACCAAAAUCUAACUGUAACCAUAUAAAAUGGUUUAUAACUAUAACCUUUAACCACAAAAAAAAAUUAGUUACGUUUAAAAAAUAUAUACUACCGUAAGUGUAUCAAAACCGUACAGUUAAGUAGUUAACCGUAUAGUUAAAAUCUUAAAAAUAUAAUCGUAAAUGUGCAGUUACUAGAUCUAAAUUCAGUCCACUAAUCUUUUUCCAUAAAUCAAAUCAUAAAUAGUUUAUAUAAUUAUUAUUUUUAUUCUUACAAUUGUAUUUUAAUGUUCACCAUAUCUUUUCUUUAGUGUUGUUUUUGUUUGAAACAUGUAUUGUUAAUAACUCAAUCACUAUAAUUAUAACCAUUAAUUUAAUUAUUUAUUGGUUUAUUUAAGAAAACUAAAUAGUUGAUUUACUAUAGAUAUUUUAAGCACAUUAAUACAUAUCGUUAAUAAUUCAAUCAUUAUAAUCACGUAAAAUAAAUAUUAUUUGAAAUAUCAUUAUUUAUUUAUUUAUUAUAAAGGUUAAAAAUAUAAUAUUUUCUACUUCAUAUAUUAAUUUUAUCAUAACUAUCAAAUAACUGUAACCAUAUUAACUGUAUAUAUAGUUUUUAAAGUUAUAAUUAAAGAAAAUUAUAACUAUAAUAGGUUGUUAAUAAACAAAAAUCGUAAUAACCGUAAAUGUGGUUAUGUCUAGGUGGAGGUGCUGGUGGGGGCGGUGGUCUUGGAGGAGGACAUGGUGGCGGUUUUGGGGGUGGUGCCGGUGGUGGAUUAGGUGGCGGUGCCGGCGGAGGUACCGGAGGAGGAUUUGGUGGGGGUGCUGGCGGUGGUGCUGGUGGGGGUGCCGGGGGAGGAUUCGGCGGUGGUGCUGGUGGAGGUGCCGGGGGAGGAUUUGGCGGUGGUGCAGGAGGAGGUGCUGGUGGAGGAGCUGGCGGAGGAUUUGGUGGUGGUGCAGGCGGAGGUCACGGUGGAGGUGUUGGUGGUGGAUUUGGUGGAGGUUCUGGAGGAGGAUUUGGUGGAGGUGCUGGUGGAGGAGCCGGCGGAGGUGCUGGUGGAGGAUUUGGUGGUGGUGGUGGUGCAGGUGGUGGAUUUGGCGGUGGAUUUUAAAUUCUAGUAAUUGUUCAUACAAAAUCUAUUCUUGGCUUGAACUAAGCUAGUGCAAGUUACUUAUGUACCAAGUCAUAUGAAAAGAAAAGUAUAUCAAAUUUAUAUAUCCUUAAUUUUGCAUUAGUAUGUCUGAAACCCCAUAAUUUUUUUAAUCAGUUCCCAAUAUUUCACUUUCGUCUUGCUAAACUUAUUCGGGAAAAUAUUUUAAAUUUAUAGGAUUUAAAUUUAGGUUACAUAUAUUAUUAAGAUGGAAACAAUCUUAUAUAAUGUUUGCAAACAACAUAAGAGUUUCCAAUCACUCUAAGAACAUUUUAGAGUAGAAGUACACAAAAAAAAAAGAGAGAAAACUAUUUCGUAUAGUAUACCGUCGAAGAAAGGAUGAAGUACUCUUCUUUCUUCAUAUGUUUUUUUUCCAAGCCACACCAAAACGCGAAAUGUCAAAAGCCAAACGCGACAGCAUAAGGAACUCUAAAACUUUUCCUGAAGCCAAACAGGGAGCCAAGAAGUGCCAUCAAUAAAAUCAAUGGACAAGAAAGACUCAACUUCUUGUUUGGUAAGAUCUUUGGCCCAGUCAGAUCUCUUUUGCCUCUCAGCUCCUGGUCCAUGACAUUUAUACUCCCCAUGGUAUAGAUUCCUGAUUGAUCAAACCUCAAGAGCAUUAGUUUAUCUAUUAAUAAGUCGUCUAAAUUAGGUUCAAAAAGUUAAUUAAUAGAGGACUAACUGGGUCGAGCCAUGGUAACUCCAGUUUGUCCAACCAUCAGGCACAACGGUCUUGGACAAGUAAGUCUUGGCAAAGAUGACUCGAGAAUAAGGUCCUUUGGCUCGGCCCAAGUAAACCUCAUCAAUUCCGUACACUUUGCCUCUUAUGAACACGUAACCCGUUUUUUCCUCUGCGCUUUCCCUAUGGUGUGCUGUGAUUGACCCAUACGGUUUCACCCUCUUGUCUGAUAUCACAAAUAUCUCACAAUUCUGUAACAAUAUUUGGGAUUAGUUUUCUUUGAUGCUAUGGUUUAGAUAAUGUGUAUAAAGAGGAAAAACGUACGUUGAAAAUGGAAGUUGCGCGACCGAAGAUGAAGUCUAUGGAGCCUUGGAUGUAACACUCAUGGUAGUAAUGUCUACCUUUGUUAUCAAACAAAGUGUUGUGUAAGCUGUAGAACGCACAAUGGUAAAACGCUACUUUGUCAGCAGCCACAAACGCUGCCACCGAUUGGUUCUCAGAUGUGAAUGCCAUUCCGACAGGUGCAUCAUUCUAUAUGUGCAUCACACCAAGUCAUUAGUUGACGUAAUUAAAAGGAAAACAAAUUUGAAUAUCUACAAUUGUUAUACGUACUCGGAUGCUGAUACCAAAAGCGACAAAGUGAUUAGCCUCGACUUUGAAAGUAGCUGAAGCAACAUUGUCGACCGAACUUUGCGAAGAUUCGAUCACCGUUUUUCCUUUUCCAUUACCCCUCAUGAAUAUGAACGGCUUGUUCUCCGGAAUGUGCACUCUCUCCCUAUAUAAAUCAACAAAUUCAAAAUCAUAAAUGUACUAUAUAUUUAGGUAAAGCCAUAAUUGUAUAAGCAAUAUAUAAUCGAAACUUGUCUUCAAUGACAAGAGCUAGUAAUUAGUUUACUAAAACAUAGUAAUGUAUAUAGAUUACGGCUUUGUUAUAUAUAUAGCAUGGUUUAGGCAUAUCGAUACUUUUAAAAUUUAAAUGGUUAAACCUCUUAAAAGUAUACGUACUUGUAGAUUCCUUUACGGACAUGGACAAUAAUCCAAUUAGAGUUACCAACAGGGACAGCAUCGAUGGCUUUCUGAACCGAAGUGUAGUCUCCUUUGCCUUCGAUAUCUACAAUUAUCGAUCUAUUUGUCGCGAUUUUUUCAGUCAAAAGUGGGGCGUCGAAUUUCGUCUUUUGCAUUGCUGAUGCGUCCGAACCCCAUAUGGACAUUACAACUAGGGUUAGGACAAGGAUCAUUCUUGUUCGAUGACCCAUUAUUUUUUUUAUUUUUUCUUGGGGUUUCUACUUUUCUUUUGGAAUGGGGUUAUGAGAAAGAGAUUAUAUUGGUGAAGGGAGAGGUUUAAUUUAAGAAAACAGGUUUUUAAAUUUAGGGUGCUUUGUUGUGUUUGUUUAGUUUUGGGAGGUAAGGGAUUUUGGAGGAAGAAAUGGUUUUUACUUGGAAUGUUUUGUUUUUUAUUUUUAGACAUUUAUUAAGGAUUAAUGGACGAUAAAUACUUUGAAGUAUAUUUCUAUCUUUGGUAACUAAUUACAAAAACAAAUUGUGAAUGUUGUGUAAAUGAUACACUGUAUAAGCCGCUUAUUCAUUAAUCAACGGUAAUCAAAGAAGUACCUUAGUCGGGGGCCAUUAGAAUCUCGUGAAGCCCAAUCCACCAAUAGAACGUCAAUUAUUGUCAUAAUUAAUUUCUUAUACCCUACAAAAACAUUACUGAAAAUCAAAAUCUUGAUUAAAAAAAUUCAAUGGAUUUAUGCAUUCUCCAUAAUAUACGAUAAAAGUUGUCUCAAAACUUCAAUUUGGGAGUGAUAUAUCAUCUUAUAUGAUUCAAUCUGUAUAUGGUUCACAACUUCUUCUCUCAUGUUUUUUCUUUUUAUUGGUUCACAACUUCACAUUCGAUGUACGUAUUACUAGUUUUCAACGUAUUAAUGUAAUUAAGUUAGCAAAAUAUUUAUUGUGUUUAGCUGUAAUAAGGGUAGGACCAAUAUAUUCGUUUAUAGAAAGGCUAUAUUUUGUCCUUAACGAAUCCACAAACCUCAAACUUGACGAGGAACAUAGGAAAAGAAACCUAUAACUUUGAUCAGUUUGAUGCUACUUUAUUAGUAUCCAACAAAAAAAAAAAAACUAUGCUUGUGGAAGUUUACCAGUUACCACUACACUCUACACUCUAGUUGACAUUAAAUUAAAUUAAAGUAAUUUUUCGUAUUAUAGUUAAAUUACUGCUGCAUAUAUUUUCACAAGAAAGCUUUACGUUUUCUUACCAACAAAAAAAAGCUUUACGUUUACUAAUAUCACCACAUUUAUUACUCUUAACGGAGACUCUAGCUCCUCAACUUGUGGACCUUUGUAUGUUAUUGCGGAUCUAAAAGAACACAGAGAAUUAAGAGAAAGCAAUAGAGAGAGUUUUAGGAUGACGAAGGGAAAUAGUGAAGUCACAGUGUUGAUUCCACAUUUGGAAAACAGCUAGGGACAUUAAUUUCACCGCAAAUUCGUAUUAAUGACUUCCACCAAUAUUACUCACUGGAGUCUCUAGAAUCUCUACUCGUCUUUUUCUACUAACCCUACACCUUUGGGUCAUUGGGUGUAUAUAUUUCUUCUGUUGGACUCUGUUUUCUCAAUAUAUUGAUAACUAUAUUCCAAUUAUUUAUAUCUUAUAGCCUAUAGACUAUAGAUAAUGCUUAUCUGAUUUUUUAUUUUAUUUUCUGAAAUAUGAACCCUCCAUUGACGAUUGUAACAAUGAAUGUUUUUUUUUGGGUCUAGCUAGGCCAAUUUCUUUUUGCUAUUUUCUCACGUUUUAGGCCAAUGAUUGAUGAUAAAAAAAAAUAUAUAUAUAUAUAUAUAUAUUCACGUUUCACUUAAAUUUUAGAAUAUUUUUUCUUUUCUACUUCUUUUAAUUCAAUUUAACCAAGCAUUCACAUCAUCAUAUAUAUAUAUAUAUAUAUAUAUAUAUGUAUGUUGUUGAAAUAUUUAAUCAAGCAUUAUUAGUUUAUGAUAAAUUAAAAUGCAGAAAAUUGAAAUGUUAUUUUAUAGUAUAAGAACAGUAAUUAAAAGAGAAGGCUAAAAAAUCCAAAAUUUGAUAAUACAUUAAUAGACAUCAUGUGGAUAGAUAAUAUAUGUGUGUAGUAUAUGGAUGCAAACGUGAAAAUCAACCUAACUGUUUCACAUUAUCCAUGCAUGUUGCUUUUACCCAUUCUCUGUCUUGUCUUCUCCAUCAACUGUUACCUAUAACCAUUUAUUGAACCAAACCGGUCCACCGGUUCGCUACUUUUAUGUAAGCAAAUGCGUGAUUUCAAUUCCCAUGUACCGCAACUAUACUGAAACAAAACAAAACACGAAUUUUUUUUGGCUAUUUCUCUACAAUAUAAUUGAAAACAUAUACUUUAUCCAACAUCAUAUUAAUACAGAUAUAUUCGGUUCAGAAACUGUUAACCAACUUUAACCGGAAAUAUAGUAGUCUUUAAAUUAGUAUUGGUUGACUUUUUAAUAACUAAUGUCACAUCUCUUUAGCAAAAUUUUAUAAAUAACGCAUAUAACAUUAGCCACAUUAGUAAACCUAGCAAUCUGGUUUCGUUUCGUAUAAUGAGUCGAGAGGAUGACUAAACUCAACCCAAAAAAAUCAAUAACCUAUCGGUUAAAACUAGGUGGGAUCUCAAACCAAUUUCAUGUUUUAAAAAUUCUUUUCGGUUGGGAUUAUUAAUGUCACGAAUUCACGGGGACUUUCUUCAGCUUCCUAUUUAUACAUACACUUCCAAUUGCAAAUACACAAGUCAUCUUCUCUCUCUUUUUUUAGUGUGUGCAAAGUCAUCUUCUCUUUUAAUAUUUACCUAAAAUUCCAAACAAAAGAGAAAGUUAUGAAACCAAAGAGCAAAGUUGCAGAAUCUACAGCUGCAUCAUGUUUUCUCGUCAUGAGCUUGUUAUGCAGCUGCAUUAUUGGUGACCAAAUGGAGACUAAUAAUGAAGGCUUGUCUUACAGUUACUACGAGAAAACUUGUCCCAAAGUCGAAGAGAUAGUGAGAUCUUCACUUUCAUCAAUGUUUAUACUUGAUCCUACUUCUCCUGCAGCCUUGCUAAGGCUUAUGUUUCAUGACUGCCAAGUUCAGGUUCUCUACCUAUAGCCAAAUCCAUCUCUCAUUCUCUCUCUCUAUAAGAAAAUUCUCAAUUUUUGUUUCCAACUCAAUAUAGGGUUAAUUUGGUUUGAAAAGUGUUUAUAUAUUUCGGGAUUCGAAUUUAUACAUUUUGUGAAUAAACAUAUCCAUUAAUUAGAUAUGAUUACUCCGUCAAUACAUACGACAAAUUGGACGUUCCGCGUUCGUACAUGUUAUGUGGUACGUUUUUUCUAACAUGAGCUUUCGUUUUUUUUUUUUUAAUAAAUAAACAAAAGCUUGAGACGUUUUAUAUAUAAUUUAAAAUUUUUGGUAACUACGUAAUUUCUCUUGCACGUGAUCGAUAAAUUUAGAAGACAACAAGAUGCGGAAAUUUUUAAUAUUAAGAAAGUAAACAACAUGCGGAAAAUUUGCGAAGACCACUUUAAUUAGUUAAAAAAUGUUACGCCCCAUUGUAGAAUAUAUAUAUAUAUAUAUAUGUAUGUAUGACGAAUGAAGUAAUUUUGUUUCAUUUAUCAGCGCCCAUCAUGUCAUUUACAACAUGGGAUAUAAUGGUUUUGUGACUAAAUUCAUAGGCAUGUUUUUUUAUAUAAUAAUGUUGUUAUUUAACUUAAAUUUAUAGGCAUUUGCCAAAAUAAAAUUAUAAGCUAAAUAGCAACAUUAUUAUUUUGUUUUAUUUGGUUUGAUAAAUAUAGCAAAACUAAUUUCAUUAUUCUGACACGUAUGAAAAACAGAUAUAAUGGUCGAGGAUAUAUUGGAGAUGAUCACAUGUUGUUAAUCUGAGUUAUACAAUUUAUGGAUGAAAAUAAUAGAUUAGACUAGGCACUUGACCAAAAAAAAAAAAAAAGAGAGACUAAGCACAUGCAUGAAAAUAUUCACUGUUUUUUCUGAUAUAGAUAAGUCACAAAAUUUCGUUUCCAUACUCUUUGAAAGAGAUGGAGAAAAACUCGAAUUUGUUCUUCGUAUUUAUUCCAUCUCAUCAUCAUCAUUAAUUGUUGGGAACAUGUUACAUGUAACAGGGAUGUGACGCAUCAAUCCUACUCGAGCCAAUUAGAGACCAACAGUUCACCGAGCUUGAUUCAGCCAAGAACUUCGGAAUCAGAAAGAGGGACCUGGUUGGCUCUAUCAAAACCUCACUAGAGCUUGAGUGUCCCAAGCAAGUCUCAUGCUCUGACGUCAUCAUCCUCGCCGCCAGAGACGCCGUGGCUCUCACGGGAGGCCCACUCAUCUCCGUGCCAUUAGGACGAAAAGACUCCCUCUCCACUCCAAGCAAACACGUGGCAGACUCUGAGCUUCCUCCCUCCACUGCUGACGUUGACACUACCUUAAGCCUAUUCGCUAACAAAGGCAUGACCAUCGAAGAGUCCGUGGCCAUCAUGGGUAUAUAAACAUUAUUUAUAUCUUAUAUCUUAUGCAUAUUUAAUUCAUAGAAUAAGAUUUCUUCGAUCUCUUGUAGGUGCACAUACGAUAGGAGUCACACAUUGCAACAACGUAUUAUCGCGUUUCGAUAACGCAAACGCGACAAGCGAGAACAUGGAUCCACGUUUUCAAACGUUCUUGCGUGUUGCUUGUCCAGAGUUUUCUCCAACUUCUCAAGCUGCGGAAGCCACAUUUGUCCCCAACGAUCAAACUUCGGUGAUCUUCGAUACAGCUUAUUACGAUGAUGCCAUCGCGGGACGUGGCAAUCUUAGGAUUGACUCGGAGAUUGGAGCUGAUCCACGUACACGUCCAUUUGUGGAAGCGUUUGCAGCUGAUCAAGACCGUUUCUUCAACGCCUUCUCUUCCGCGUUUGUAAAAUUGUCGUCUUACAAAGUGUUAACCGGGAAUGAAGGAGUAAUUAGAAGCGUGUGUGACAAGGUUGAUUGAUGUAUAUUUAUAAUUAUCAAAUGUUAAAAAUAUUAAAAAAUAUAAUUAGUAUAAAAUUAAAAUAGCUUGAAGCAUAGUAACCGGACAUAGUAAAACCGGGUUACAAAAGAAUUAACCAUAAACAAUUUACCGUUCUCAAACACUCCUUGCCCAAAAUUCAUUGGAGAAUCAAUUUUCACCCCAUCGAUCAGAAUCAUUCGAAAUGAUUAAUAUCAUUGACGCACUACGAUGGUGGACCUUACGUCCUUGCCACAGUAUAACAAAUUUUGAUUUUAACAAAUGGUUUAAUGUCUUUUAAUGAAAUGCUACUUUUUGUUCCCCAGCAAAAAAAAACAAAUGUAAUAUGCAAAUCUGAUUUUAUACAAAGAAGGCCCAAUUUUUAUAUUUGCUUAAAAGACGCUACAACAGUUCAAAGCCGGUAACAUUGAAUUCAAUCCUCUUGCUGCCUAAUAUAUAGUGCUUCACUGGUUCGUUGUGUUUUCUGUAAGUCCAUCUUACCGUCUUAAUUUUUUUUAAAGCCUCAGAUGUAUGUCAAUAAUGCUGUAAUUUUUUUCUUUUAAAACUACAGGAUUUUUUCUUCUUGUUUAAGUUGUAGUGUUGAAGUUUUAGUUAUAUGAAAACUAGACAUUAUCGACAGAAACUUCAAAAACAAAAACACAAAAGAUAAGUUUUAAAAAUAAAAUUAUCAAGAAUGAAUAAAAUAAUAUAUACGAUUUUUUUUAAUAACUAAUAUAAGACAUUUUAUUUACUUAAAAAAAUAUUAUAAAUAUUAUAUUUACCACUUAUAUUUUAUUUUAAAAUAUAUACAUACAAAAACUUACAGCUACAACUAAUUCAUUUAUACCAAAAACUCUACAACAACAAAAGCUACGACAACAGUCAGCACUAAAAAACUACAGCUACAACCCAACCAAUCACCUAAAUAGUUGUUUAUCUUCUUGGAUCAAUUCUGAUCAUAACAAUUUAUAGUUUACAUAUAUUUCUGAAUUAUUUAUAAAACAAGAAAUUUUCUAAAAAAAAAAAAAAAAAAAGGAACCAAAUAUUCGAAUUUAAAAUAAUCGAGAAUAUCGCAUAGUGAUCAAUAUGAAUAUAUGAAAUUGACUUGUAUAAUAUGUAGGAUUACAACUGAUUAUAUACAGAAACGAAGAGUAAUUAUGCUGAGUAAUGAGUGGAAGAAUUACAAGGAUACGACUCAAUUAGAGGAAGCUGAAUAAGCAAUUCGUAUAUGUCAAACACAAAUAUGGAUCAUCUAUACCGUUGCUUGACUUCAUUUGAUAUGCUAGUUUUGGAAUUAUAUUAUGUAACACACAGUUCAUAAGUUUUGCAGGUAAAUAAAAAUGGUGGAGAUCUAGAGCUUAACAUCAAGCAACAUUUGCCAUUCUUCAUAAAGCAGCAGCAUAUGUAUAUUGUAUCAGACGACCCAUGUAAGAGUCACAUCAUCUAGAAAAGCAAAGUAAUUGAAAUUUAUGAAGAGUAGAAUAGAGAGAUACACAUUAGCAUAUGUAAUGUAAUAGUUUAAGUGACAUUUACAUUUGAUGUAAAACAGAUUUAUUUAAUAUAUGGAACUUUGAUUCAGAGUUUCUUUUGAAAUUUGAGUUAUAUAUAUAGAGAGAGACUAUUAAUCAGCAUACAAACAAUAUAUAAUUUUUAACAGAAACAAUUAAAGAUAAAAACUAUAUACACGUCGGUUUACAAAUGACUCAAAAGAAUAAGAUUUACACGACAGAACUUAACCGAUGUUAAGAUUACUAAAACCGACGCAAACGUUUCGACGUAUAAGUAAGCGUCAUUUCCUAAAGUUAAGUUAAUUAUAUUAACGUCAUGCAAUGUUACGACGGUUUUUAAACCGACGCUAUUAUGUUAAAGUCAGUUUGAAAAUGACGUUAAAGUCAAUAAUGACCGACGUCAAAUACCGUUUCUCUUGUAGCGAUCAUAAUUUGGAAAGUGUUGAUCAUAUAACAACAUAUACUUGGAUAUUUUUUUUAAAAAAAGUUAGUGUCAAAACAAACAUGGAUCAUAAUUUGGAAAGUGUUGACUUAAGAUGUUACCUUUUUUUUUGUGCAAAAAGAUGUUACCUAUACAGUAUAAAUACUGAACAAGUUUGAUUGAAAUAGUUAUCAACAUAUACUUGGAUAUUUUCCAGGAUUAAAAAAAAAAAAAGUUUAGACGAAUUAUGGGUUCUCUUGAGACAUGCUUACUUUUCUUUGUAAUGGUUAUGUUUAUGAGUGCAAUUAUGUCUCGAGCCUCGACGAGUGUAGUGAUUUAUAAUGAUCUUGGAGGUGGUUUGCCACUACGGCACCACUGCAAAUCAAGAGAGGAUGAUCUUGGAUACCAGAGUUUAGCACCAGGUAGAUCGUGGUCGUUUGGAUUUACACCGGAUAUUUUUGGCCGGACUUUGUUUUACUGUCGUUUUAGUUGGGGAGCUGAGAGUCAUAUAUUUGAUAUCUACAAACAGAGUAGAGACAAAGAAUUUCAAGAGUUUGGUUGCAAAAAAUGCGAAUGGAAAAUACGGAAAAAUGGACCUUGCAAGUUUUAUAAGAAGACCGGCAUGUUUGAUCAUUGCUAUUCUUGGGAUUAAUAUCCUUAUUUUAUAAAACAUGUCGUAACUAUCAAUCUAUGUCUGUCUACUUCUUCUUCUACCUUUUUUUUUCUUUUUUGUAUGAGGUAAUUGUGUCUUAAUAUGAUAUUUUAUGGUUUGACCUACAAUUCGUUUUCUUUUUUUUUUACUUGUUAAUGACACAAUUAUAGUCAAAUAAUUUUAGAGCGAAGUAACAAAACAUUAUAAGAAUAUAAUGUGAACUACAAUGAGCUUUUCUUUUAUGCUUAACGUUCAUUUUUUAACAAAAAAAAAGAAUUAUAAAUAAAUAGAGAACAAGUGUUGAUCGAAAGAACAACUAUGUAAAUUAUACAUUUGUGCUUAACUAAACGCAUAUCGAUUAGAGUCCCAUUUCAUGACCCCGAAACUCAAUGAGUCAAACGUAGUGCACAAUCUAGUGUAAUUUAAAACCAGAAAAAAAAAAAAACUAGUAUAAUUCGACAUAACCAAAUGGCAUAGUUAAACGCAUGUUGGUGAAUGGAGGAAACUAAACCCGCGUGGGAAGGCUUUUCUCGAGUAGUGGAAGUGAAAUAUUAUCUUAAAACAUAUACUUUCAAUGACAUAAAUUGGUGAAGAUUUACUCCCAUAAGUGAAAUGCAUUACAUCUAGAAACUUAUCUCUUUUAUAUUUAUUUCCGAUUUAGCAAAAGAAGUAAGUAGAAAGUCUAUUGAGUCAAACCCAAAUUUUAAAAAAAAUAAUGCAAAGAACUUGCAUAUAAAUAUUUUACAUUAUAAUUUGUAUUAAAUUUUGAUUUAGUAAACAUAUAUAACAAAAUUUUCAUCUUUCUUUUAAUAAUAUAGUUUUUAGUUUGUUAGAUUUUUUUUUUUUAAUUUGGGCAACACAACAGUUGUGUAAUAGUAUAGGCAAAGAAAAUGGUCGGACAGCUAAGGGAAGAUCGCUCUCUCCUCAUCAGACAAAAAAUUACAAGCGAGAAUUUCUUUGUUCCUUUACGACCGGACAAGACACGUCCGUCAUCGUCUUCUACUACUUUCUAUCUUACGCCUCUCCCCUUAUCCUACGCCAAAACAUCUUAUCCUGCGCAUCAUCCCUUCCAUUAAGACCUAGGGUUUUCUCUCUCUCCCAUCAUUCUCUUCUCCCGAUCUCAUUUCCAUUACCCAAUCCCGCUCCUUUUCUCUGAUUUUGAAUCGAACCCUUAAUACCCAGAAAUCUCACGGUUCCGAGGAGUGGGUUUUUGGGGGUUAGGGUUUUCGAGAGAUGUUGAAUGUCAGGUUCAUUGAUGAAUCUGUUUUCUCUCUGCUUCAAGCCAUUCGGGCACGUCUGUGAUAAUUCCGAAGCUGGAUCGGGUGGUGGUGGUGGCGUUUCUGGUGGAACCGGCGGUGAAGGCAAAGACGGAUUGCUUUGGUUCCGUGAUCUCGGUAAAUAUUGCGGCGGAGAUUUCUCCAUGGCUGUGAUUCAAGCCAAUCAGGUUCUUGAAGAUCAGAGCCAGGUCGAAUCCGGUAAUUUUGGGACUUUUGUUGGUGUUUACGAUGGUCAUGGUGGUCCUGAAGCUGCUCGUUAUGUCUGUGAUCAUCUCUUUAACCAUUUUCGAGGUUCGUAAUCCGAUUCUUCAUUGACACAGUGAUUCGUCAUUUUGACAUUCGAGCUUGAGUGUUUUGAAUUGGUUUUUUGGGGAAAUACAUAUUUUAGAUGAAUCCGUUGACUUAAUUCUGAACUUUUUGUUCAAAUCUUGGUGAUGAAGAUGGUGAUUGGUCAACAAAGUUAGGUACUUUGACUUUUUAAUCUCGUUGGGGUAUAAUUAGGUUCCCAUUAAGCUAAAUGCAAGUUUAGAGCUACAGUCUUUGCAUUUAAAAACUGUGUUUAUUGACUUCAGAAAUAGUAAAACUUUAGAUAUGAGUAUGCUCUUUGAUAUAUAGGAGUAUUUGUAAUGCAGUUUGAUAUAUAGGAGGACUCUUUGCAUUUCGCAUUCCUGGUUCUUUGAGAUUGUUCUUUGCCAUUUAGAUAAGGGUCCCUGGCUUUUGCAUUGAUGGUGGAGUGUCAUGAAUAUUACCAGGCUUAAGCAAACUAGGAGUGCACUGUAAUUAUGAAAGGAGGUUGAGCCUCUCUUAUGUUUUGAUUGCUCAGGCUUUAUGGUUAUGCAGAAAUAUCAGCGGAAACACAAGGAGUUGUGACGAGAGAGACGAUAGAAAGAGCCUUUCAUGCGACAGAAGAAGGAUUCGCUUCCAUUGUGUCAGAGCUGUGGCAAGAAAUACCAAAUUUGGCAACUGUUGGCACUUGUUGUUUGGUUGGAGUGAUAUAUCAAAAUACUCUUUUUGUGGCAAGUCUUGGAGAUUCACGGGUUGUUCUUGGAAAGAAAGGCAACUGUGGCGGACUCUCUGCUAUUCAGCUGUCGACUGAACACAAUGCUAACAAUGAAGAUAUUCGUUGGGAACUCAAGGACUUACAUCCUGAUGACCCGCAGAUCGUUGUGUUCAGGCAUGGAGUUUGGAGAGUUAAGGGCAUCAUUCAGGUAGUUUCUCAUUCUCCUGCCAUCCCUUGUGAUGUUAAUUUUCCAAAAGAAAAAUGUAAAAUUAGUCACUUAGACAUAACUAGGUUCCUUGUUGUGUUAACUCUCUUUGGUUUCGCAAACUUUGACAUAUCUACCUUAUGCUUGUUUCGGAAGAGCUAAAUCAUUUUUCUUCUCUCUUUUUUAGUCUUUGAGCGGUUUGGCCUUUCUUAUAAGCUAUAGAAAAGUUCAUUAGAGGUCUGAGAAGUACAAAUCUUUAAAAAGUUUUGAGAAUUAGCAAGUAAUGAGGUAGUGCAUAAGCAGAAUUAGCAAGUAAUGGGUUUCUGAUGAACUCCAUACAUAUGUACUGAACAAGCUAAAUAUAUGUCUUACGCUCUUUGUGAUGUCUAGUUACCAAUAAUUAAUCAUCUCUACCAUGCAGCUCUUAAGACUUUCUGAUGAUUCCCUGUAUUUACUGUUCAACUUUGAUUCGCUGUUUAUAUAGGUAUCGAGGUCUAUAGGAGACAUGUACAUGAAACGGCCCGAAUUUAACAAGGAGCCAAUCAGUCAAAAGUUCAGAAUUGCAGAGCCAAUGAAAAGACCCUUGAUGUCUGCAACACCAACAAUACUCUCUCAUCCUCUGCACCCUAAUGAUUCGUUUCUCAUUUUUGCAUCUGAUGGUCUUUGGGAGCAUUUGACUAACGAAAAAGCAGUUGAGAUUGUUCAUAACCAUCCCCGUGCUGUAAGUUUCUACUUUGAUUUCUCUCUUAGAUGGCGUUUUUGGUCUAGAUAAGUUUUAGAUUGCAGUUUUAAGCGAGUCAAGUCACAAGAAUCCUCAUUAUUACAAAUUCGUUAAAUAUAUAAAUGAUUUCUUGCAUUGUGUGUUUCUCUCUAUGUUCAGGGAAGCGCAAAGAGACUGAUAAAGGCGGCUCUUCACGAGGCAGCGAGGAAACGUGAGAUGAGAUAUUCAGAUCUAAGGAAGAUUGACAAGAAAGUGAGACGACAUUUUCAUGAUGACAUCACGGUUAUAGUGGUGUUCUUGAACCAUGACCUCAUAUCGAGAGGCCACAUCAACUCAACCCAAGACACAACAGUCUCUAUACGGAGUGCUCUUGAACACUGAGAAUCCCAAACAUUUUACAACAAUGUUUCUUCUUACUUGAUUAUAUGACUUUUGCCUAGAAUGAAUAAAAAAAAGGCAACAUAUGGAAAAAACCAAAAAUGAAAAAAACAACAUCAUUAUCGUACGUAAUGAGUUCUCUCUUGUAUUAAGCGGCUAUGUUUGACUUUUGGUGUUUCUCUUCAAAGUUCUGAUGAGUUCCAAGUCUUUUACUUCUUGCCGUUCGUCAAAAGUAUGUAAUGUAACAUAGCCGUGUAACCAUACUAUUCUCGAAUGUAACAUCAAGUCUCUAAUCAAAAUUGUUUUGGUAACUUAUAAUUAUUCUUCAUUCCCGAACAGUGGUUAUUCUUCAACAUUUCUAGGUUUAACUUUAUUGAUCAAAAAAGAUUUUAAGAUGCUCUUGGAUUACUGUUUCGAUAUUUAUGUGCCACAGUUGUCAACUCUUCAUACUAUCUCAAAUUUGCGGUUUCGGUGAAAUACUUAAUUUUCGUACGGAUUUGAUUUGGAGAACAAAGUCGUGGAGCAACGUUUGGCUUCAACAUUUUACUUAUGCAAGACUUAAAUGUUAGUUCUGAUUAAAUGGAUUCAUGGACCUUUUCUAAAAAAUAUCAAAUACAAUUCCAUAAAUCUAUAAAGUUCUUGUUAAUACUAAAACCUUUGAGAGUACUAAUGAAAGAAAAAUCAGAUUAAGCUUUCUAGGCUGCAUUAUGCAUCAAAAAGAAGUUGAAUGUCAAUCAACAACUCAGAGCCCAGUGCAUAUUCAUCAUCUUUUCCUUCUUAGACCCUCAACAAUUAUUCUAGCCAGAUAAAAAAAUUGAAACAGAUACAAAAAAUUAUAAGGAUCCUCAGAGUAAAAAUGCUUAUAGCUUUUCAUCAAUAAAAAAUCAGGUCUCAAAGAUUUCAUGCCAUCAUAGGAUCCUUCAAUAAGCUUUUUUAAAAAAGAAACGAUAACUGAUUAGGAUAUAGCACGAGCUUAUUCGCUAUGCCUGGUUAAACAUAGACGAAGCGACUCAACGCCCCUGCAAUAAUCUAUCGCCUCACGAAUAAAAUCGAUGAAAGAAUCAUCCCGUAGAUAUUGAAUACUCUACAGGAAAUUCAAUCUGAGAGGCGAAUCCAAUCAGCUACAAAACGAUUCUAAAAGAUCAUAUACAAACAUAGUAAAAACACAGCAAACUAAACCUAGCUUAAGAGAGAUCGAAUGUUUU